UUUUUUAGAGAAAAUGCAAUUUCCCGACUUUAUAGAUAAAGCCAAAAGAGAUUCACAACACCGAUUACAACCAUUAAAGAAGUCUCACAAGUUGUCGAACAACCAACGACCAACAAAUCCCACAUGAACAAUUCAAAAACGACACAUAGGCCAACAACCAGGUACCAAAAGAAAACUAGUAAAUGAUGAUCGGAUGUCCACUAAGCUAGAGCUUGCACCCUUGGUGACAGCGAGUUCGAUGUAGCCCUGAAGGGAGAGCUGAGUAGGUCCGUGGUGUCGAUGCCGUAGCUCUUAACCAGGGGCCUCCACUACUGCAUUAGUGUAAUGGAUUGGAAAAUAACAUUAGCUGGUUUUGACGGGAACACAUGCUCGAUGGUAAACUUAUUACGAGUAGUCCAAAGAGCCCAACUGACAGCAGCAAACCCAAACUAUAAUUUGCAUCUCAAUGGGUCAGAUAAUGCACUAAAAAGCGGCAGUAAUUGAGCAAAAACCGGUCGGAGCCCAGCUAAUCCAGCCACGACCGAGUACAACUUCACAGGAGAAUGCCAAAGUCACAUGAAAACAUAAUAUGGUUAGAAUCUUCUUGCCUAGAGCAUAAAUAACAAGUAGAAUCAGCUUGAGCAUUAUGCUUCCUAAUUUGAUAAACAACAUGAAGCUUCCCAUGGAUGUCUUGCCAAAGAAAGUUCUUAAUUUUCAGUGGAACACGAGCCCUCCGGACACCCACGAACUUAGAAGAACAGGACCUAGCAAUAAGACUAUGGUAAAGCGAUUUGACCGAAAAAAUUCCGAGGGGGAAUGAGGCUAGACCACUGAGUCCAGAAUCUCCAAGAGUGCGAGGAAAGUGGCAUCAAGCUUAUGCCAUUGUUCCAACUCUACAGGAGAUAGGGAGCAGCUAAAGGCCAAAUUCCAACCAGAAUUAGUAAGAUCAAAGAUAGUAAUACCAAGAUUACCACAAAAAGAGAAAAUGACCAGGAAAGAAGAGCAAAGAUGGUGGCCCGUGCCACCAAUCAGGCCAAAAGUGACUGGAUUUCCCAUCUUUAAUAAUAAACUUCACAUAAGAUUAGCAAACAUCUUUGACCUUAUUCAAAGAUGCCAAAAUUGAGAUCCAUUAUCAGGUGAAGCCAGCAGAUCACUAGUGGAAGGAAAUAUUGUGCUUUAAGAAUAUCAAACCAAAAGGUCCUAGCGGAAGCAAGAAGAAUGCACCACCACUAUUUGACAAUUAUGGAAUAAUUCAUAAUCGACGUGUUAAUAAUGCCUAGGCCAUUGUGGCUUUUAGGCUGGCAAAUGAUUUUCCACUUGACUAACUGAUCCUUCUUUUUAUUGUCAGCCGAAUUCUAGCAGAAUCUGCUAUGAUGCUUAUAAAGACCAGUGUGGGUACCCUUAGAUAGCCUAUAAAAACCCAUAAAGAACAUAGGGAGAGAGGGAAGAGAAGAGUUUGUGAUGAAAACUUCUCCAGCAAUUGUAUUAUAUCUACCACAAUACGACAUAACCCUGUUCCCACCUUAAGAACAAUGGGGGCAAUGUCUUUUUUACACACUUUAGAAGAUGAGGGGGAGCGUGAGCAGAAACCUGUCCCUCAUCUCAAACAUUGAUCUGAAAGGCUGUACUUUUGGGGUAUACCUUGGUGAAACCACGCGGACCCAAUCUGGCGCACUACACCAUCAAACACGCCUUGUUACGCAUGAUCGAAGGAACAUCAUUUAACAAAACACAGUUAUCCACGAAGUUGCCAAAGCAUCGAUCAUCGUCCCAACCUUUUUGACAAAAAAUACAAGCUGGUUCAUUGGAAGCGUAAAACUAGUGCCCUUAGAUAACAUCUUUAAACUUUCCUGAGACUGGGAAAGCAAUCCCAAAUUCUGAUUGUGAAAUCUACUGUAACUAUAGUCCUAACCAUCCGGACCCCAUUCGCUUAGCUCAUCCGCAAUCGUCUGCAGGGUCACAUAGUAGAUUGGACCGAGAUGAUAGCAACGUAGGAUGUUUGAGGCGCAACCACAACCAUGUCCAAACCACCAUCCAAACCAAAAACGCACAACCUGGCAUCCCUAGUAUAUAUUGCUUAAUUGAAGGAGGUUUGGAGCGAUUAGUACAACCCACUGUGAGGUGGCCUUCGACACAGUAAAUCAGGCAGAAAAAGAAGAAACAUACAACGGGAUUCAGAGUGACCCGGCCUAUGACAUGCAAAGCAUGUGAGAGAAGGACGACACGAGCUAUUACCAGAGCCACCCACCGGUGGAGCAGAUCCAGAGAUUGGUAGGGCCGGGUGAGGAUUCCAUCACUAGAGCCAUCAGAAUUGUCAUUCGACCAAAAAUUACUAAACUUCUUUGGUCGAUUGUUAGGAGGCGUUGUGGAAGCCACCAAGGCGUGGUUUGGGACGGAACUGCCCUUGGAACCCAUAAACACUGGAAGGAGGAGCAAGCAGAGCAGCAUCAGCAGUCGACCGAGGAGCAUCAGCAUGGGGGAGGGGGGCACGGCGCCCGAUGCUGCCGCCUCCCAGUUAUCUAGGGCAGACGAAUCGGAGCCCGCCCAUUGAGAUGGGAUGGGGGAAGCAGAGGAGCGAGUUGCCGCCAUCUUUUCCUCUUGAUGUGCACACUACUCCUUAUACCACUCUUAUUCCCAAAACCAAACCACCGGUGUGCCCCACGCCUCCCGCUCCUUGGUAGCACGCUCGCGAGCCUCCUGCCCAUGCUGCAACUUAGCCCUCAAAUCAGCCUCAGGCGCCACGGAGUCCACAAGUGGCCUCACCAAAUCCAUCAAGUUCCCUCUUGCUGUUGGUGUUGCGGUCCCCCAACUAGCCCAUCUUCAGCACCUCGGCGAAGGAGCGGGUCAGAGGUAGGGGUGGAACGAUUCGGAUGGAGCGAGGAAGGAGGUGACCAAAUCUAAUCUUGCAAAUCUUAGCGUAGGAAACAGAAAACCCUAGGAUUAGGACGACACAACCUUGACGGGGCCACAUAUACCCACAACAUGGGCCAACAAGAUUAGGUGGGCCAACUGGCUGCUCGGGGCCACUCACGGGAGAAAUGAGUCGAAGCCCAAAAGGGAGAGGGGGAAAGAAUAGCCGAAGCGAUUUCCAACCCUUGGACAGGGCCACCACCCUGCGCAGAGCCCACCAAGCUCAUAGACGAGCCCACCAUCUCACAAGUCGAUGACCGGAUUAUGGUUCCGUCCCAUAAGUAGAAGAAGCAGAGACGAGCGCAAAAGGCAUCGCUGGCCCCCUAUCCCGCAUCGACAUUGCCAACGAGGUGAUACCCACACUAGGAUCCAACGAGAUGAAACACACAUGUGAUACCGGGUUAGAGCCAAGCAAACCAGGGGAAGGAGUAGGAUGAAGUAACCUACAAGCGCGGCGAGAUCUGGGCGUCACAACCACCCAACCUCGACCCCCCCCUCCCCCCCGAGACGAAGAGCUACGAGCACUGAGUGGCCACCAGGUACGAACUUGCAGAGUCAGACCCCAGCGCCCCCAGGUCACGCAGUGCCGUCGCACUGUCACCAUGGGAGAAGGCGAGGGGGAGCUACCAGCACUCAAAACAUCGUCGACAUCCAGAUCCAGUGCCUAGAAGUGAUUGGUGAGAGACCGCACUAGAGAACAGAGAGGGAGGGAGGGGACAGGGAGGGCGGAAGGAACCGGUGAAGAAGGGGAGGAGGACGAGCCACAUGGAGAUCCCGGAGUGGGAAGGCAGGGCAAACAAGAGAAGGGGAGGGGGCGGGUCACUGGAGAGGGGAAAGAGAGGGGCGUCGGGCGAGGGGGAGCAAGAGAGGGAGCCAUCCUCACACACCACAACUCCACGCUUGACCUCUCUCCUCUAUCUCUCACAUCUUCUUCUUCUCUCUCCCCCAUUUCUGCUCUCUCACAACCUCUAUCUCUACUGCUCACAUGCUGAGAGGGGAUGGCGCAUUCUCUCUCCUUACAUUUCACCUAUGUUCUUUCUCACACACACAGCCUAGUCCCAUUUCACCUUUGUUCUCCCUUCCUCACACACACACACACACAUCGUAGUCCCAUUUCAUCUCCUCUCUCUCUCUCUCUCUCUCAUUUUCUUGUACUUCUUCGCUUUCUCUCUCUCAACUCCCCAUGGCUGCUCUCUCACAGCCUCUCUCUCUCUGUUGCACACACGCCAUGAAGCAGGAAUCUUGCAUGGAGCGUCUGCUUGUGUUGUGUGGGGCAGCUCAUCACGUGAGAAUUGUGACAGAAGAUGCCAAAUAGGGGCUUGGUCAACGCCUGGUAGUCGCGGUGCUCCCAGCUGCAACGAUCAUGAUGUCAAAUAGACGGUCAUGAUAGCAGGUACCUUGGAGCUUGACCUACAAUUCAACUUUCCACAAGUUCCUCCUUCAUCUUCACUUUGGUGAGUACUUCGACGUCUCCAAGCUCCGCAAUUUUUGUUUUGCAUUUGUUAGGUUGCUCUUGUUUGCUGCCCAAUAAGUUGUUUCCUCGGCACUUUGUAUCUUUACUAUAGCCGUUUGUAAAUUAGUAAUUUAAAGUCGGACUCAACGAGCCUAUUGUCUAAAAUGUAUUUGUAUGCAUCACAUCAAAUUCUCGGGGUGAAUAUAUGAAUGAGUGCAUAUGUUAGAAAUUUGGUUCACUAAUUUCCCGCUGACUCCUACAUUACACUGCUUAUUACCUGCAAUCAAUAACCAUACCACUCCCCUAACAAAUAAUGGUGAAUUUACAUAUGUAAUAAAACCUGAAAUGAUAGGCAUACCUCAUAAAAAAUUCGUGUAGUUCAUCCUUGGUCAGUGGAUAGCCAUUAGAAAAUGUCACGAACAAAGUUCUCUCAUCAGGUGGAACAUCAGAUAGGCGUUGCGUGAUCUGCAGAGAAAUAUAUUAUUAUUUUCUCUUCAAGCUAUGAACUGCACUAGAUAUUUGGAUGAAACCUAUCAAGUCUUAUUGGAAUAUAAAUGAAUGAACAUGCAAAGAAUGAUCAGGGACGAUGAGUUACUGCAUCAUUAUGGUUCUCUCUUAAGCUCAACUUAUCCAGCAAUGUGACCAAAUGGCAGGUUGGCUGAUAAUCAUAUACUUCGUCCUCUGUAUCAUGGUGGAGCAUACGACUCGUUUGAGGAUGGAUAUUUCUUGAACUUGAGCCUUCUCCAUGACAUAUUUGACUUGUUUGAACACGGAUAUUUCUAGAACUUGUGCCUUCUCCAUGAUGCUUCGGAUUAUUAGAAUACAAAGCCUUGAUCUUGGUAAGAAGGUGUUUCUGCCUAUAGAUGAUUUUGGUGAAUCAGAAGGAGUAGAAAAUACUUCACAAAUUAUUAACAGAUCUUUCAUUACUCUCACCGAGCUAUUAGGAAUCUGUUCAUUGUGAUGAUUCUUCAUUGGCCUCUUGGUAUAGAUCUGUCAUCUGCAUAGAUGAUAAAGCAAAUCACAAAAGGGUAAAACCUUGUACUAGUAACAGAUCUGAUCUUGAAUAACUAAAUAUGAACACUUGUCUUACUGAGAUAUUAGGAAUUUGUUCAUGCGAUGAUUCUCCAUAGGCCUCUUGGUAUAGAUCCGUCAUCUGCAUAGAUGAUAAAGCAAAUCACAAAAGGAUAAAAUCUUCUACUACUAACAGAUCAGAUCUUGGAUAACUAAAUAUUAACCCCAGUCUUACCGAGCUUGCAGCAGGAACCCGAUCAGUCCUGGACUGUCCAUAGGCUUCUUGGCGCAGGUAUGUCAUCUGAUUACGGACAAAAUUCAUCUCUAUCCUUUCUCGAAGAUCUUCUAAGGCCUCAUAACAGAUAGUAUUGAGGUAGAGAGAAAUUCCUUCAAUAGCUUGGUUCUGAAAGUCACUUCUUGGUAUAGAUCUGGCCUCUGAACCACCGAACGCAAAAUGGAGAACUUCCAGAAAACGUUUUGCAGAAGAAACAAUUACGCGAAAAUGGUUGUCACCAAGAGAGUAUAUGUGCUGAAGGUAACCAACUUGGCCAUUCCCUUGUUGGAGCCACAACCAAAAGGCAAUUAUCUCCAUGGAAAGGGAAGACUCAACUUGAAGACCAAGGACCAAACGAAAGAACAACACUCGAAGUAUCAUAUAGGAAGAAUUUGAAGCAUUAUUCAGUGGAUCUGGUGCCAUGGAAGGUGUGGCAAGCAUACAGGAGUGUAUAGAAGAGUUGCUUGUUUUGAAUCAACAAAGACAUACGGGGAAGAAGAAGGUAGUAAGACUAAGGUAUGCGGGCUUGCUUAUCAUUUAAGUAAAUCUAGAAGGUUCAAGCGGAUGUUGAUUGACAAAUUAAUGCCUCCCAAAGUAUGAGUAGAGGAUAGGCAGAGGCGACAAAAAAAGCAAACUGUUGAUAGUCUAUACUCAUUAAUGGCAGCCCCAUUAUAGCCAUACUUGCCAAAUAACUGCUGAUUUUCUUUUUUUGCAUGGGUCACCUUUUUGGUAUUCUCUACUAUACAAAAUCACCAACUAUAUCACGAGACAUAUAAAAAAUAUAUGGAAAUAUUCAUUAUUUAAUGCUAUUUAAAGCGCUUCUAUGUAUAUAGUUACAUAUACAUAGAACUGAAAAAAGACGCAUGCAGUUUGCACUCUGUGAAAAGCUACCCACUUUAUGUUGGCAAAUAAUAUAUGAUCAUUAGUUACCUGAUCCCUGAGCUAAUGCCUCAUCUUUAGACUUUGUUGUUCCAUAAUUCCUUCUUCUCACAACCAUCAAUCCCAUCUAAUCGCCUAGAUGUUUUUCACCAUCUGCGAAGAUGGAGAAGACUAAUGGAAACACUCGCUGAUUAGCUGCACAAUGGCACGGUGUGUGUGUGCAUAUGUGCUUUAGCUCAUGAAGUGUUCAGUGAGCAUAUCUCGAGAAGUGCCGCUGGUGACCCACGGGAAUGGCUAAUGGAGCUCCAGGAUACCGUUAACUAGUGAAGAGUUUAUCACAAGGUGCUCAUUAUUUUAUGGGCGAUCUGAUCGGCCAGGUGUAAAGCAAUCCUCGAAUCAAAUUUUCAGUUGCCGUGUAAUAAUUAUGGGGUUUGCUAAUGGACUUAUCGGUGAGCUCAAGUUUCUAUCAAAGAAGAACAUAGUUUUAAAUAGCCGGCUAUAGCAAAGCUAUAGCCCGCUAUAGCCUUUUUAGCAGGGUGCCGCUAAAAGGCCAUUUUUAUAAAUAGCCUGCUUUAGCCCGCUAUAGCUGAUUUAGAGGCCCACCAUUAUUUUCCAUGGCUCGCUAUUUAAAACAUUGAAGAAGAGUGUAAAGGUAGGUAAUUCGCCAGUGAAAACAAAACCGCCGGCAGGUGGCAUCUGCAAACUUAAUGUUGAUGGAGCAAUGACGAAUUCAUCAAACAGGAGAUCAGCUAGUGCAAUUUGCAGAGCAGAGGAUGACUAGCAUCCACACUACCGGAAUCGGCCUGUUUGCCGAGUGCAUGCUCGUUCGCCGAGUGUCUUUUUUUCAGGCACUCGGCAAGCAAACCCUUUGCCUAGUUCUUGGGAAAAUACACUCGGUCAGCUCAUGGUUUGCCUAGUGUUACACUUGGCAAACAAAAAACACCGACAAAACAAUUCGUUUUUUUAUGUUUUCAUUAUAUUUAUUUAUUUAACUUUGUUUUUUGUAUUUUCAUUCUAUUAUUUCUUUCCUUCUCUAUAUUUUCAUUCUUUAAAUUAUUUCUUAUUUUUUUCUCUUUUAUUGUCUUUUCUUUUUUCCUUUGCAUAACAUUAAAAAAGUUGGGGAAAUUGUAUUCAAAAAUAUUAUUUAUAUUAAUGAAUCUACGUUUAAAUAUUAUAUCCAAGAAAAAAAAAGAGGAAUUCCAAAUAUCAGGGUGCCAAGACUCGACCCAAAACAUGAAACUUGUCGUUUUUUUUUAUUUUAAAAAAUGCAAGCGAAUUCUGAAAACAUAAACAUGGUGUCAUUAUAUGAUCCCUAGAGGUUGUGGUAAGAAAAUUUAGAAGGUUCCGUAAACUUUAUGAUGUACACUACUUAGAAACUGAAGCAUGUUCAAGUAAGAAUCAUGGUUUUGAGAAGGAGCAGGUUAGGUUUGAUUGUGAAGUGUCGGUUGCUUCAUUGUUUGACCUUGAAACUUUUUCUACCAUCAAUAUAUACCAUCACAUGUUCCAUGUCAAAAUUCGCCUUUCCUGUUCUUGUUUGCUAUAUUUAAGUCAUUACAUGCAUUUCUAGUCAUUUAAUUUGAUAGAUAUAACUCAAAUUCAGACUGCAAGUGUGUGAAAAAGUUAUAAAAAAUUGGUUAAAAAUUAUAUUUGUGUUAAUGAACUUAUGUUUAGGCCUUAUCAAAGAAAACGGCAGGAAUUCCAAACAUCCGGGGAAGCCAACUCGAUUUCAAACCUGGAUCUUGUUGGUUUUUAAUUUCAAAUAAUGCAAAUGAAGUGUGAGAAACAUGAAACUUGGCAUGGUGUUAUUACCUGACACUUGGAGGCUGUGGUAAAUAUGUUAGAAGGUUUCGCCAAAUUUCAUAUCUUUGCGAAAGAAUCGUGGUUCAGGAGAGAAUAUGUAAAGUUUUUGAAGGUAAUGAUCAUUUCUUUAUUGUUUGACCUAGAGUUUUUUUUCCUAUGCUCAACAUACACCAUUACAUGUUAAAAUUUGGCCUUUUUUUGGGUUCAUUUGCUAUAUUUAAUACAUUAAGCGCAUCUCUAGGAAUUUAAUACAUUGAGUGCAUUUCUAGGCCCUUUUCUUGCUGGUAUUUUCCGAAGGGGCCGAACCCCUUGCUUGGCAGAGUAUAUGCUAGUUUGUUUUGCCGAGUACCUGUUUUUUGACACUCGGCAAAGGCUUCGCCGAGUGCCCUAUGGAAAGAACUCGGCAAAGAGCACUUUGUUGGCGGGGUGUCUACUGAGUGCGGUUUGCCGACUGUAACACUCGGUGUAGACUUUGUCCGGUGUACUUAUCACUAGGAAAAUCACUCGAUUGACAAUAGACCGUAUCGUUGAGGUGAUGGCCUGCCGAGAGGACUAGGUCAUGCACUUGACCUGAACGUACGUGCACCUUCUUCAGGUCCCUUCAGAUUAUCUAUUGGUGGCAGAAGAUAUAAAUAAAGGAAGCAAAUGCGUAUAUAGAGCUAGCCUCUGGGAACACUCUUCACGAUGAGCUUUCUUUGAAAAAUUUUUGUUUAAAUUUGAGAGUAGAAAUUCAAAUAAGGUGGAAGAUAGGCUAGCAAAACUUGCAAUCUCUAUGUUGUUACCGAAAUACUUGGCUCUUGGAGCCACCUGAUGAUGCAUCUUCCUUUCCAAUAAAAAGGAAAAAAUAGAGGUUAACAUUUAACUGACUUCACAAAAUAACUACCAUAGAUGAAAAUAGGUUUCAAGGACCGAAUGUUAAUGUUGAUAUGACCAUUAUACAUACCAACAAUACGAAUUUGUAAUCCUUAACAAGUAGAAAUUUUAGUCCUCACAGUGGCAUACAUCGGAAGUUCAGAACAAUACCAAUAAAUAUAGGUCACAAAUGGGUAAUUAAGGUGCAGUAGGCACAAGAGUAAUCUUAGAAGUGCAGAUUAUAUUCGAGUACGCCUCCAGAAUGCUUGGCAUACAUAGAAUAUUCUUGAAUGUUUAUGCAAGGAGUAGGUCAUCACACUUCACUUUAUUUCUUCGUCUUGGGGACGAACUGUCGAGCCCGUAUAUGUUUUCCGCUGCUGGUCAUGAACUUGACUCUAAUGUUCCCAUCUAGAACGCGGAAGAGUGUCAACUGCGAGUAAAAUGUAACGUGUGCGUACAAAGGUAGCCUGUCUUCAAUUGGCACCUUUUUUUAGAAAAGGAGGAUGACCCCCGGCCUCUGCAUCUGGGAGAUACAUACAUCCACUUUAUUGAUUAUUCUCGAGGACCUUACAAAGUAUUACAACAAUGUGCCUGAAUCCACCAUCUUGUCAACAUAUGCCGCUACUCCUAUCCAAAAUGAUGAAGGGGUGCUAGCUGGGCCACUACCCAAACCACUCACCUAAGCCUAACAUCAAAAGCCGGAAGCCGAAACUCAUUCGGAAGCCCCAGCCGAGCCACAUACCGGGUCUGGGGCACAAUCCGGUCAGACGCACUCGUGUGUCGUCGCCGCCAUCUUCCACAGGUCUUCAGAUCAUAUUGAGGCUUCUAUCUUGUCUGGCCACUCUGCCAUCGACGUCACCAUGACGCCAGACAGCAACCUACUCCUACGCGAGCCCAUCUCCGCGCAUCGGACGCCGAGUCUCCACAGCGCCAUGCCAUCGAUCUCCGCCGCCAUCAAUAUGUGAGAUGAAACACCGCUCCACCAUCCCUCCAGCCAGCACUUGCUCCAAGACGAUGCCCCCAGAAGGGAAAGCGAUAGAACGCCAUCAUCAUCCGAUCCGGAAGACCCAGAUCUGGGGUUUCCCCCUGAGCAUCCCGAACUUAUUUCUUCAAUAUCUCCAUAGUGGCUGUGACAUGGAAGGAAUUAAUGCAACAUAAUUAGCAACUGCAUAUAUAGGGAAAACUAAUGCAAUGAAUUCUCCUCAUAUCAAUUUCUUCUUCCUUAUGAUAGUUUUCCUGUUUUUAUGUCAUAAUAUCUAACUGUCAAAUUUACCACUUUCUUUUUUGUGAAAGUCAAAUUAACCGCUUAAUUAACUAGUUAUAUAUCUACAUCUUUUUGCUUAUCACUUGCCAAGGCAUCAUCCAGACCUACUAAUUUGUCUGGCAAUGUUGAACAAUAUCUUGUUAAUUACCUCUAAAAGUUACCUCACUGGUCAUAUUCAAUCGAAACAGUCAUCUCAACAUUGUUUCACCGAUCAGACUAUAUAUCCUUUCAAAAAAAUCCGACUAUAUAUAUAUAUAUAUAUAUAUAUAUAUAUAUAUAUAUAUAUAUAUAUAUAUAUAUAUAUAUAUAUAUAUAUAUAUAUACGAGUAACAUAUAUAUAGUCUUCGUUAUAUGUAACAUGUUCCCAGUACAUUAGUAAAUUGGUAUAAUUACAACAAUAUAUGUUAGCCAUUUUCAGGGUUCAGUGAUAUACAAAAUAAUCUACUUCAACAUGUUGAUUCUUCCAGUAGCCUUUCAUCUAUAUAAAUAAAUUAGGGAUGCAGAAGCUUACAAAAUGCAUACUAAAAAACAUAUAACAUUUAUUUCUUGUCAAUUUUCCACUUACACACUCCCAAUCGAAACCUAUGUCCUCUAUAUCUAAGUAGUUGAUCAUCACUACUUCUAUUGAUCUCAACAUGCAUACAUGAAACCUCAUGAAAGGCCUACCUCAACAUGUCUAGGAAAAGUUUUCCAUUAUUACUUGAUCCCCAUUACUUCUAUUUAUCUCAAAAUACACAUAUAUAUUCUAACCACACAUGUCACCUUAUCAAAGAUCAACGACAACAUGCAUGUGAUUUUUUUCAUUUAUUAUGCUAUUACAUUCAAUAAAUAUUUUUUUAGCUAUAUUUGUAGUCAAAUAUAAUAUAUAUUAUGUGUUUUCAGUUUUAUUUCAUAUAUUAUUAAUCCAAAUAUUAAUGUUUCAUGCAACCAUUUUCAUUAAAAUAUAUUGCUUCUCACAGAAAUGCGUGGGGGUCAUCUUGUUAAUGUAAAUAACAAACAAACCGUCUCUGCUUCUCAAGUUGGACAUAAAAAAGCCUUUUCACUCUACGCAACAAGAAUAUUUAUUGGACCUUUUGCAGAAAAGAGAGUUCCCUUCGAGGUUUUGUGGCUAGUUGAUCGAUCUGUUGCGCAUGUCAUCCUCUUAUUUUCUUCUUAAUAACAUCUAGGGUAGCCUACACAAUACCGGAGAUGCCAUCGUUAGGGGAAGCCAUUUUCCCCAUUCUUGUUUGUCAUCACUAUUAAGCCGUUGUGGUAGGUUUUGGAUUUGGGGAUGGCUAACGGUUGCCUUCCAUGGAUUCAGAGGUUGGGUUGCAUGUCUUCACGCCUCCCUUUGUGCAGACCACGCUUCGGUUUUUGUGGUUGCUAUCAAAGAAGAUGUCAGUAACAUGUCAAGCGUUUUGCAAAGCAUUGGUAAGGUUACCGGUUUCAUUACCAGUGUGGAAAAAAUCUAUGUGUCCCCUUAUGCAUCGAUCUCAAUGAUAUUCUUCUUAAUUUCCUUCAUCAGCGCGUUGCUUGCGAAGUGUGUAGAAGAUCACAUGCAAGCUCAUUGACAAGUAUGGAAUGGUAAGGAGAAACACGUUGAUUUAAUUGGUCCUUAAUUCACAAGCCGACUACCCCUUACUCCCCUUGUCCUUAAGCAAUCAUGAAUACUAAAGUUAAGUUAAAGUGUGCUUUUUCGGGUCGGGUCCGAGAAGUAGUCCAGAGGGAAGUGUAAAAUCAAGUGGGAACUUGUCUGUGGCCGAUCAGUCAUGGACUGUCUAUAGGCAUUAUGGCGCAGAUAUGUCCUCUGAUUAUGGAUAAAAUCCAUCUCUAUUCUUUCUCGAAGAUCUUCCAAGGCCUCGUAACAGAUACCAUUGAGGUAGAAAGAAAUUCCUUCAACAGCUUCCUUCUUAAAGUCACUUCUUGGUAUAGAUCUGCUCGCUAAAUCAUCAAAUCCGAAAUGGAGAAGUUCCAGAAAACGUUUUGCAGAAGAAACAAGGGCACAAAAAUGGUUGUCACCAAAAGAGUAUAUGCGCCGAAGGAAAUCAACUUGGCCAUUCCCUUGGAGCCACAACCAAAAGGCAAUUAUCUCCAUGGAAAGGGAAGACUCAACUUGAAGACCAAAGACCAAACGGAAGAACAACUCUCGAAGAAGCAUAUAGUAAGAAUUUGAAGCAUUCACUAGAUCGGGUGCCAUGGAAGGUGUGGAAGGCAUACAGCAGGAUGAGUUGCUUCUUCUUUUUUUAAGGGGAGGAUAGAAGAGUAGCUAGUUUUGAAUCAACAGAUUCAUAUGAGGAAGAAGAAAGCAGGAAGAAGAAGGUAUGUCGGGUAUGCUUAUCAUUUAGGCAAAUGAAUAAAGGUUCAAACAAAGAUGCUAAGAGUUUAAUACCUCCCAAAAAGUAUGAGUGGAGGAUAGGCAGACGUGACAAAUAGAGCAAACUGUGGACAGCCUAUACUCAUUAAUGACGGUCCCAUUAUAGGCAUACUUGCCAAAUAACUGCUGAAAUAUUUGCAUGCGCCACCUUUAUGAUAAUAUCAUAUUACUAUACAAAACCAAGCGUAUCUGGAAACACGUAUAGAAUAGAAUUUAAAAAAUUGUAUAGAAAAUAUUUAUUAUUAAAUGAUAUUUAAAGGGUACCUUAUAAAAAAUCUACCCACUUUAUGUUGGCAAAUAAUAUAUUUUCAUUAGUUGUUUUUUUGGAAAGGAGCCAGAACGACCGUCAAAUUUCACCAAAAGUAGAAAGAAACUCAAACAUAAUAAAAAUUACAUCGACGUCCUUAGACCACUGAAUGACCACUGUGCUGCUAGAACGAGUCACCGAUGCACCGCUCCCCUCCCGGAGCUGACCUGAACUUGUCGAUGACGGUCGGGAAGUAUUCAUGCAUAUGUCCCUAAGGACCGGCGUCCUAGAGCCACAAUUGUCAUGGUUGAACCUUGGAUCAAUCUGAAGUGCCCCACACCAGAUCUCUCGCCAUCAAGCACGACCACAAGUAAUCCUAACCUUGUUGUUCCAAUGAGACGAUCGGAAUCUAGAUGGGAGUUCCAUCAACUCCACCCAAGGACAAACUUGAGGAGGAUCGAAGCCCGGAAGACCAGUUCAAAGAUGAAGUGUCGCCAUCCAACCAAGUGCCGCCAAUGCGAGGACUGAAAACACCUAACCUAAACUAUAGUUGGAGCCGAGGCACCGAGAUUCCCCUCCCAGCCACUGGUCACCGGGGCGACAGGUGGAGAGGAGGUGAAUCCACGGUCUCGCUUGCGGAGCCUGGAGGGGAUGAGUUCUUCGCCCUAGGCACCACUUUCACAAGAGGAGAAGGAAAAGACAUAGCCUCAUUGGUUCAUAUAACUUUUUUUAGCUAAUGCCUCAUAGUUAGAAUUGGUUGUUCCAGAAUCCCUUCUUCAUAAUCACAACCAUCGAUCCCAUCUAAUUGCCUAGAUAUAAAUUUUAAAUUUUCUCCUUAAAUUUCUACAAUUGUCAUAUGUAGUUCUCAGUUCACAUAUGUGUUCUUAUAUAUUUCAUACAACAAAAUUUUAGAAGUUCGUAAAAAAUUGAAACACGUGUGUGAACCCAGGGGAUAGAAACUAUUUGUGCAUAUUCAACACGUGCAUGAUAUAUAACACCACGCCCUUGUCAUCUGCCCUCAUGCAGCGGCGCUCUGGGAGGCUAUGCGAGGGCACUGGGCAUUACCGAGCCCUGCUGACCUGCGUGAUGCUGAGCCAGAGUGGCUGUUCCGCCUGCUUGAUAAAUUGUCGGAAGGGCAGAAGCUUGCUUCAUUGAUGAUCAUGUGGAGGAUUUGCUAUGCAAGAAAUGAGAUCACACAUUAUAAACCCCGAUCUUGAUUGAGGCCUCGCACCAUUUCCUCUCGAGUUAUAUCACUUCCCUAAUCGCAAUACGGCAGUAUCCCGAAGCGAGCGUUACGAAGGGCAAGCAGGUGAUCGAUUACCUGGGAAGCACGUCAAAGAACACACAUGAAACAAUAGUAACACCGCAAUUGAAGGCCCCUGAUGUGAACUAUGCUUAGUUGACUAUAGUUGGUGCUUUUUUGAAAGAGGAUGGUACAGCCGGGGCUGGGAUCAUCCUGCGGGAUCAUGAAGGAGCGGUCUGUUGGAAUUAUGUGUCCUGCAACUAUAUUCAAAUUACUAGGAAUUACUAAUAUUCGGAAUACCUCAUUAUGGAAUUGUACAUGUAUUUAUACAUGGAAUUGAUUUACAUAUUUAGCAUGGAAUUGUUACUUGCUGGAAUGUACUUAAGUGAUAUAUGCUUAAGGAAGCUGGUCGAUUAUCAGUGGAAUACAAUAUACUAUUUAUAUUGGAAAGACUACCCGGGUACACUGAUGAUUGGAAGGAGCUAGAUCGUAUAGUUAGAUUACAGCCCUAACGUUGAUCUACGUAAUUAGAGGAAUUUACACUCUAUUAUGGCGCGUUGCUCACAAGCGCGUUGCUCACAAGCGCGUGCUCCGGGGACAUAACGGGUAGAACCCGUUAACAGACAAAUAUGAUCGUGGUUGGUAAUUUGAUCCCGGAAACUAGUACAAGAAAAACUAGGAAUCUUAUAUCUGUAUAAGAGGUGGACUCUUUGGAAAGACAGUAUAAGAAGGUCCCUACCCCAUAGCCUCACAGAUGCGAAUUGUCAGCGGCACCACGGAUAAGCGCAGAGGAAUUAGGGGGUAGACCGCAAACCCUAAAAUUCUUACAUUGGCAUCAUGAGCAAGGUUCGGUCCCGAUCACCCUAACCCUAAUCCGCUGCGUACCCGAUCUGCUCCGAACUCUGCUCCCGUGGUCGCCGAUUCCACUGUGAACUCGUCUCUGUUUUGUUAUUGAUCUACCCCGACACGUCGUCCGUGGAAACUGUUGCGAUAUCUGCACGGGAGAGCUAGCGCGACGCGUUGGUCCUUCCGGCUUGCGCGUGGCCCGGUCGGUCGAUGUACGACAUGCAAGGAAAUCCAAUGGAACGGAGCGGCCGUGUAAAAUCCGUCCAAGGAAAGCAUCCAAGGUCCAAGUCCCGAGGAAGUCAUGUUCAUCAACACGAGACCAUCAGAUCAAUUGCUAUUGCUACUAGUACUCCACGUGAAAGCACAUGCAAUUCUUGGUCACGUCACAUGGAUCAAGGAAAGAAGGAAGUCAAGCCUGGCAUUGCUACGUACGAGCUAUACAGAAAUCAAUCAGGCUAGCUUCUAUGUGCAUGCGUCGGAAUCUAGUCCGCUACCGGCACAUCCUACAGCGUGUGUUCGUCCGUAUAAUCGCUGAGUCCUUCGCCGUGAGGUCUUCUACUAAAUCUUAACUCAACAACUUGCCAAGCCGAACGAGCAACUGCUCGGAAACUGCAGGUCACGCCCACGCCUGCUGCCGGUCUACCGCUGCUACCUACAUCAUUGAUAACAGCAGUUUUCUCUCUGAAAAACUACUGGAAUUUCAAGGCAAUAGUUAAAGGGGAAGAGAUGGAAUUUCUGUUAUUUAUUAUGCCUAUCAUCAGUCAACUGGACCGGCUGGAAGAACUACAUGCACCUGUGCACGCGUGCUAUGGGGAAGAUAUGCAUAUUACAAUCAUAACUCUUAUCUAUUAAUUAGUUUAUUUUAUUAGAUCGUUGAUUAACGGACUAACUUGUUUUGGUUGCUAAUUUCGUUGCAUGUAAAUCAUAGCAAGGAAUCUACUCCUUGGAAGAAAUUUAGGAGGACUCCAGACAAUAAAUGCAUGAAGACUGAGCAAAUGAUUAUAUACUGAAUAUUGCUAUGAUGGAAAUAUUAUGCGGAAAAUUAUGCAUACUAGAAAGGGAUUUGGGAGAAGUGUUAUUAUUGAGCAUCACUUGUUUAUGGAGGAAAGUGUGAGUCACUCCGAGGACAAGGAAAUUUGCUCUUCAUCUAUCGGUAUGUCUAAUGAUAAUAUUUGCACUCUAAUUAUAUUUAUUGGUGACUAUUCUUUUCAAAUAGUCGGAUUAUGGUGUUUGUUUGUAUACAUCAUAUAUUAUGGAAUACAAUAGCGACUUUGUUUCUGUUGAAACAAUUCCAAAGGAACAAAGAUGAUGUCUACUUAGGCACUAAUGCUAUAUUUGACAUACUUUGGAAUUGAAAAAUAUGUCAUUAAACUCCCUUGUGGAGGAACACCAAUACUAUUAUAGGACACUUGUUCAACUUCAGUGAGAAAGGGUUUGAUUUAUUGUUCUAUCUUGGAAUCUAUUUACUAUGGCAUACUAUUGGAGAAAUGAAGAUUGGAAAUAUUGCUCAGUGGUAAAAUUAGUGCAUUACUGAAUCUCACACAAUGGUCUUCUCUUUAUGGUACAUUGGAAGUUAGCGACCCAAAUUGUUUAUUUGGAAAAGACAACUCCAUAUGGAGGAAAACUGACAAUGGGAACACAUGCUUGGAAACUUUUAAUUGAUGCUACCUAUGACUUGGUCAUAUAUCUUGGAACAUUGUCAGGUGGCUCAUUAAUUAUGGAAUUCUAUACUUUAGUGGGAGGAAUUUGGUUUUAUGAAGCACAUAUAUAAUGGUUUUUCUGACUUGCAUGCCUUUUCUUAAGGUGGAAGAAGAUAAAAAGAUUCACAUCAUUUUCUUUUCUUCUGAUAUCCUUAUAGUUUUUCUUUGCACUCCCACUAGAAGUCAGAUUAUUUAUUUCAUCUCACUCUUCGAUGAUUACACUUUUAUAUGGUCAUACGUUUAUCUUUUAUAUACAAGUCGGAAGGUUUUAUUGUGCUGGUCAUAGGUUAUACUGAAGUGGAAAAUCAGUUGAGUAAAGAAUAUCCUAGUUUUAACAACUGAUUGGUGGGGGAAGUACACUUCAGGAACAUAUCGUUUGUAUGUAAAGAGCAUGGAACUAAUCACCAUUCUAAUAUACCAUAUACUCCACAAUUGAAUGGAGGAAUUGAAUGUCUUUUAUACUUCCUUAUUUCUUUGGAAAGAAGCAUUGCAUAUUGUCGUUUGUUGAUAUCAUUCUCCGUCUAGCAUAAUCACUUCACCCGAAGGAAAUCUUCUAUUUUGGCAUGAAACUCUCAGUUAAGCGCACACCAGGAAUUUUUUCAUGGUUAUUCUAGUGGAUCAAAGGGUGUUUCAUUAAUUAUAUGGAAAAGGAAUACUGGUGGAAAGUAGGAACACAAUCAUUUUUAUCAUCAAGGGUGGAAUUAUUGACAAUCAUACUAGAAUAUAAUCUUGACCUCAAGGAAACUACAAGUGACACUCCCAACAUGACAUGCUUAGGAUAAGUGGGAGGAAUUAACUUGGAAUGUAAUCUCUGGAUAAUUGUUAUGUGAUUUUUGGGGGGAGGUCACUCUAAAUACUAGAGGAAAACUCCUAAGAAGGCUUAAAUUUUUCAUCAAUGUCAACUAUGAGUGGAAGAAAUGCGGGAAGGAAUAAACUCAAUAAGGAAAUAUAUAGUUUGGGAAGUUAUUAUCAUACCAAACAACCGCAAGCCCAUUGUUUGUAAGCUUUUUUUUGUAAGGAAAUUUGGCUCAUUGGAAUAUUAUAAUAUCACUCUUGCUAUUCAGUUCUUUACACAAAAGGAACAUAUACUUUAUGGAAACUCUCUCUCCUGGAAUAUAGGGAAGAGGAACUAAAGACAUGGUUUGCUAAUUGACUAUAUUAAUGUAUGGUCUUAUAACAAGCUUCACAUCAAUGGAAUAGCAGGUCAUAUGGUUUUUUGAAUGAAGCAAGGCGGUCAUCUACAAAUGUAAGUGUAAAAUAGUUUACAUUAUAUUGUAUACAUUAACAUUCUUUGGUUGUUUGUGCAUUGAUAACUCGCAUUGAUGGAAGUGUAAGCUUGGUCAUUUUCUAACUUUCAUAUGAAAGGAAUUUCUGGAGCUUCCAAUGUUUCGGAGUGGAAAUACAUAGAAAAUAUUUUGAAGUGUUUCUCUAUGGAAAAUUGCAAAUAUGUUAAAAAUACCUUUGAUAAAGGAAAUCAUACUUAGUGAGGAAUUAUAUUUGAACUCCUGAGGAAAAAUGGAACAAUAAAUGGUACUGGAAUUGAUAUGUAUCUUCAUUAUAUUAUCAUACCUUAGCUACCGGAAUUUAUGUUGCAUUCAAGCAAUGGAAGGAAAGACGAGCAGCUAAGGGAAUCUCACACAUCAUAUAAGAUUGUGGAAAGUGCAUCACAACCUGUCACUUGUUCUGAAAUUUAUAUUAAAAGUAAACACAUUGAGGAAGUUAUUAUUCUAUCUACGAGAUGAGAAAUAAGUCCAGGUAUGCAUAUUCAAUUAUUGUUUUUAGUACUAAUAUGGUGCAGGUUCACUGACCGAAGUCAGGAAUUUCUUACAAAGCAUGGUUACUGAUGGAACUUCAUUUAGUGAUUAGAUUUGAUAUGUAUGUGUUUUUAAAAUUUUAUUCAACAUGGUUAUCUUAUACUUGACUCGAUGUCGAAUUAUUCAUAUUAUUGAUAUAUGUGGCUGGAAAUAAUUUAUGUGGAAAUUCACUUGAGGAAACAAAAUACUCAAGGUGCCUAUAAAGGUGGAAUUACACUCGAGGAAAUAAUACUCGAGACGCCAAGGACAGCUAUGCUGGAAUAAAUUAGGCGGAAAUUUAAUGUCUCUCGUGUCACAGCAAGGAAACAUAUUGAAGGGAAGUAUCACUAUAUUUAUAUUUUUGUGGGUUUUCAACAUUGUGUUAAUAUGAUUGUUGAUCCCUUGACUAAGCCUCUUAGUCAGGAGGUAUUUGGCAAGCAUGUUAAGGCUAUGGGUUUACGAAUAUUUGAAUGGUCGUUUGGGACAAGUGGGAGAUGUUGGAAUUAUGUGUCCUGCAACUAUAUUCAAAUUACUAGGAAUUACUAAUAUUCAGAAUACCUCAUUAUGGAAUUGUACAUGUAUUUAUACAUGGAAUUGAUUUACAUGUUUAGCAUGAAAUUGUUACUUGCUGGAAUGUACUUAAGUGAUAUAUGCUUAAGAAAGCUGGUCGAUUAUUAGUGGAAUACAAUAUACUAUUUAUAUUGGAAAGACUAUCCGGGUACACUGAUGAUUGGAAGGAGCUAGAUCAUAUAGUUAGAUUACAGCCCUAACGUUGAUCUACGUAAUUAGAGGAAUUUACACUCUAUUAUGGCGCGUUGCUCACAAGCGCGUGCUCCGGGGACAUAACGGGUAGAAUCCGUUAACAGACAAAUAUGAUCGUGGUUGGUAAUUUGAUCUGGACUCUAUCCCGGAAACUAGUGGAAGAAAAACUAGGAAUCUUAUAUCUGUAUAAGAGGUGGACUCUUUGGAAAGACAGUAUAAGAAGGUCCCUACCCCCUAGCCUCACAGAUGCGAAUUGUGAGCGGCACCACGGAUAAGUGCAGAGGAAUUAGGGGGUAGACCGCAAACCCUAAAAUUCUUACACGGUCAUCUUCGCUGCGACACGGGUGCUCUUUAAUUGUGGUGAUCCUCUGGAAGCGGAGAUGGCGGCCAUGGAUGAAGGGCUUCGACUUGCGCUCCACUGGUCCAAUUUGUCGUUGGUUGUGGAGACGGACUGCACUGAGUUGUUGAAAAUGGUGCAGUCUAAAGAUGUUGAGCGCUCGAGGUAUGUGAACCGGAUCAAUGAGAUCAGAAGGAUUCUGGCUCAUGAAAGGAAGAUUAGUCUAGCUAAAAUCAGCAGACAUGCAAAUGUAGCGCCUCACACCCUUCCUUGUAGGGGGCACUCGCAAUAGCACACAACCUGUUGGCUUCCGAACUCCCCUGUGGAAAUAGCUAGCAUUGUCAUCUCUGAAUGUAAACAUAAUGACUGAUGAAUGAAAAGCUCCUUUCCAGCAAAAAAAACCCGUGCAUGAUAUUCUCAUAAGAGCAUUGCCUGCAAUGUGUAUCGAGUGUGGAUGACUGACAUGAAAAAUGUGCUUAUGCAUAGGCAGAACUUGGAACGUAUUCAUGUUAAUCUAGAAAAUAGAAAAUUUGUUUCAACUGAAUCAAAAAAUUGCCAUUUUGUGCUAAUACUUUAAACAAGUCCACAAUUUUAAAAAAAAUCUUGAAACCAGCCCGUCUUGCAAUUACUAUAAGAAUCCUUGGCGCAGAUAAAUACUUGCCUCAAAUCUCGGUGGAAGGAGGGGAACCACCAUGAUUUUAAAUAGAGUGCUAUAGCUUCGAAUAUAUGUUCUUACUAAAUAAGAUGUUCACAAAUAAUAUGUUUGAAUAUAUGUUCUUACUAAAUAAGAUACUUGCCUCAAAUACUUGCCAACCAUCUCCACAAGUUCUAAGAUAAAAAAUACUUCCUUCAUUCAGUAUUAUAAGAUGUUCUUACUAAAUCGAAUAUAUGUAGACAUGUUGUACUGUGUUUGUUCGCUCACUUUAGUCCGUAUGUAGUUUAUAUUGAAAUAUCCAAAAUAUCUUAUAAUAGUGAGUGGAGGGAUUAGUAAGCAACAUGAAAAAUGCACGUGAGUACACAAAUGUCUUAUAUUAUUGCAAAAAAUGAUAAACUGAACUUGAGUUUUAUAACAAGUUAUGGCAAUAUGACAAGCUCAAGUGACACAUGUAGUAUACUUCCACCCUAUUAUGAGCAUCGGGCAUUGACUGCAAGAAAAUGUUCACUAUUACAAGCUACAAUGUUGUGUUGCAUAUGGAAUUCCUUGUCCAUGGUCCAUUCUCCGUUGGCAGCUUCAGUUUGUAGCUGGCUAGUGGAGAUGGUUGGAUUUUUUUCUUUUCUUUUUGAAGGAAGAAACAUGAGUGAAUUUUGCCAUGCAACAAUGUUUUGUUGAUAUAACAUGUCAUUAACUUGAACUAUUGCCAAACAGGCCUAAACAGAACAUGCACCUACAGCUGCUGCAGCAGCAACAUCUGCAAAUAUCAUCGCCGGGCAACCAUGAUUGGUCCCUGCCCAAGAUGCGGUCGCCUGAGACCAUGAAGGAGAUGGCUGAUCCUGAUCGUCUUGGUAGAGAUGCGACAUCUUCCUCACAACGCUGGCUGGCUCGGUCAGUCCAUGCUGAUACAAGAUGCUCGAGGACAAGGAUCUCACCUGCCGCAGAUACCUGCUAGCAAUCCCAACAAGGUUCCAUCACAUGAAUGAGAGCUCUUAAGUUCGCAGAAAUAAGCGACAAUGAUAAGUUUAAAAAGAAAAGUCCAUCGGUUAUCCGGGACAAGGUUUAAUACUACUUUGUUUUUUUAGCCGCCAAUCAUCUUUAGCUAAAAGGUCUAUACUUAACAACAUAAGCAUCAAUUUAGACAAUAACCAAAUGGCCAUGUGUUGCAAUGCAUUAAAAAGCAUAUUGCUUUUGCAUGACCUGCACACGCCAUACUUGUUUCUAUUGUGUAUCAAACUAAGCUUUACCUCGACGCGCGCAUUGUAGUAGACAUAAAAUUAGUCCAGCAUCACUAUAAUAUCAUAUUUUUCCACUACACCAUGACUAUAAAAAAUGGAAUAAAGAAACAUGAUUUUUUAGUGGAAAAUAUACAUAACAUGACAAACAUAGUGUUUUUUUUUGGUUUCUUAUAAGCUUUCUCACGGCAAAAUAAAUUGCAACACAUGAUACGGCAUGAAGAUGCAGAGGUCUCUCAGUUGGAGGGUGGAGUAUAGCAAUCGAUGCAUGCUAGAUAGCGAGAGCAGCUAUUCUGCACACAAGCUCAUUUGCAGUCGGGCAUGAACAGUAAAUUUAUUUUAAAAAACAAUUCGAAAAAUCUGAAAAAUUUAGGCAUCCAAGAUACUCAUGUGCGCAAGAUGUGUGCAAAUCGUGGUGUUUGCACAUCCGAGGAGCUCAUGUAAAAAAAAUCAAAUUUUGGGUGUCCGAGAAACUUUGAAAAAGAACACUAUUCAUAGCCAAUUUUGGUUUUAUUUUUGCACGAGCUCCUCAUAUGUCCAAACAAUCUAAAUUUUGCACGCACCUGGCAUACAUGAGCAUCUUGGAUGCCUAAAAAAUUCAGAUUAUUUUGAAGUUUUUACUAUUUUUGAAUUUACUAUUCAUCGAGUGUAGAUGAGCCUAGGCACCAUUUUUAAUUAUCGGCUGGAUAGCAGACUAUAGAUACAUUGAUGUACUGCCUAUAUGUCAUGAUGACAUUUGUGAUUUUACCAUAAAUAUUGCAAUGUUGUACACACACACAGACGCACACACAAACAUGCUUAUAUUUAGGGAAAAUUCGGCCGGUGGCACUAUCCAGAGCCGAUAUUCGUUGUUGCCACAAGAUUUCCAUGAGUUGUGGUUGUUCCAUGAACACUAGCGAAGAAAUUUGUCACAAUCCAUUUUGCGCCAUCUCCAUGACUUGUCAUUAGAUGAGCCCUUGUUGUCAUCUCCUUUGACAUGUUUCCUUCUUUCUGGUAAGCACCUCUUUGUCAUCUCAUCAGUAACGGAGAGGAGAUUCAUUUGACCCUUUGGGAUCUAUCACUUUGCCAUGUCAUCAGCAACAUAGGGAGACUCAUUACACCAUUUAGACCCAGGUAUGUCAAAGGAAAAUAACAUGAUUCGUAGAAACAAUAACUAGCCCACUUCAUUGCAUCUGGUAUGCCACAACCGUCCAAUCCACAUGUUCCUUGCCGGUAUGUAACCUCCUUCCCUUGCCUUCUCCGGCAAUUGAACCAGUCGAGCGGGAGAGGGAUUUACAGGCUCGCGAUGUGAGGCUCAUGUUGCCGAUGUGGACAUCGACGCAUCAAGACAUGAGUGCCACCUUUUGUGAGGCUUGUGUUGUGGUUCAUGCCAGAGAUGCGUGAGUAGAGUGUUUGUUGGGUUUCAAAGAGGGUCAUGCGAGGAGUACAUUUGUGGGGCGGAAUUAUGUGGAGGAAAUGUCAAAGGAGUGGUGCCUGCUUCCGCACCACCAAGGUUACCUGUGAGAUUAUCAAGUGGGCGAUGACGUAAUGACAAGUUGAAGUUUCCUCGUCGAGGAGAAUCUGUGCGCCAAUGAGUAACCAGUGCCAUGGAUUGUGAUGAAUUCUAGUUUCUAAAGUUCAUGUUGCAUCUCACCUCGUCUACUACAACCUUUAUGUGUGGAGAUUGGGUCAUUGGGGGGUGUCAAAGAAGUGUAGAAUCAAUUGAAUCUAGUCUCAACCUAUAAUAACUAGGAUGCUUGUUGUCUAGAUUUCAUGGUGGUGAUGCUAAGUUUUCACUUAUUUUAUUUUUAGUUUGUGAUUUAUCGGUCUUAUUAGUUUGUUUAUAAGUUUAGGGAAGGCAACAAAUAGUUGAUGUCAUCAACAACGAAGAGGAGACUCGUUUGACCCACUUCAGCUUUGGGCCCCACCUACUAAGUGGUAUCACACAAAAACGGUAUCAAUCUAAAAAAAAUACGUUCCUGUCCAUUCCAUUCUGUCUCGUAUGCAACGGGUCUGCCGGUACCAUCCAGUCCAUUACAAUCUUUGUCCGCCACCAGUUCGCCGCUACCUCCCAGUCCCGCGUCCACUGGCAAUGGGACCAGCUGAGCAGUAGACAACGAAACGGGCUCGCAAGGUGAGGAUCAUAUUUCCGAUGUGGUUAUGGUUGUAGGUGGAGGUGAAUGCCACCUUUUAUGAGGCUUGUGAUACAAUUUGCACUGGUGAUGCCAAGGAUCGUUUUCGCUGGAUUCUAAGGACAAUCACACAAGUACGGUUCAUGGAUAUGAUUCUCAGAUGAUGUUGAACUUUAUAGUGAUCGUUAGUUCAACGUCACCGUCCUUGGAUUCCAAAGACGGCCACACAAGCGAUCAUAUGUUUUUCUAAACUUGGUGAUGGUGAUGUUAAACUCUACAAUGACUAGUUGGUUUCCAAUUUGGGUUCGACCACCGAUGUGAGAUUCGGCAUUGCGACUUGGAGCACGCGAGUAGGAGGAGACUCCAUUCACGAAGAGGCGGAGGGGGGCAUGUUGGGCUCUUCCAUGCCCAAGUACCACCCCGCAUGGGUGUUCGCAAGGUUGUCGGGGUUGCGUUGGCCGGCCAUGCGGGAGUGGUACCAGAGCAUUGGGGCAGAAGAGAGUUUUGGGUGGGUUUACUAUUGGGGACAAAGAUUUUUGAGUGACUUGAGAUAGAUUAUCUUUGGUGGUUGACAUGUGGGCAAGCAAGUUGCAGGUCCCAAAUGUCUGCGAGCCCAAAGUCGUAUCCCUUGAGUGAGAGGAUCCAAGUUGAGUGGUAGAGUUUGUGUGUAGGAGAAAAGAACGGUUCCCCACAUGUCAUUGAUUUCUAUUUUAAUAUUUUCCCACUUGUUGAAAUAAACUCAAUUCUUUUUUGCGGGUGAAAUAAACUCAAUUUUGAACUAUACGUAUACGAAAUGAACAGUUAAAAUCACAGAAACAAUAUAAACAAGUACACAUAUACAAUUGUGGACCAUCUGCAGGGAAUGGAUAAAAUAUUUAAUUAUUUGGGGGAAAGUGAAAGUAAGAUUUUGUGUGUGUUUACACACACAAAAAUUGUAGUUGCUUUUACUAAAACUUGGUGUGACGUACUAAUAUUGGUACAUGAGUUGGUCAGAUACAUUUGGGAACAAUACACAAAAUUUAAAUACAAGCUUGUCCACAAAAUGGACUAUCUCAAAUAUUAUUUCAUAACAUUCACAACACAUCUAACUUUAUACCACAUAACCAAUUUCAAUGACCAGUUGAGCUCUUUUUCACUUCAAAAUUCUCUACGUCUUGGUUUAACAUUUGUAAUAAUGAAUGUGAAUUAAAAUCACCAUUUUAAUGUUUAGAAUCUUCUCUAGCUAUUUUAUAGGAAAUAAAAAUGAAAAAAUAUCUUAAUGUUGUAAAAAAUAUGAACAAUUUGGCAACGAAUUGCAAUAUUGAUUCAAUAGCUUAUGAUAAAAAUCCUAGAAUAAUGCAAGUAAGAUAAACAUGAAUUGUUCACCAAGUGGACUAUCUCACAUAGGAACCCAUGCAAAUAGCCACAUAAACCAAUUGGCUCUUUUCCACUUAAAAAUUUGACUACAUCUUGACUCAAGGUUUGUAAUAAGGAAAGUGAAUUAAAAUCUCAAUUUUUAUGUAAAAAAAAAUAUUUUAGCAUUUUUCUAGCUAUUUAGUAGCUUGUGAUAAAAUUAUGGGAAGGAUGAAAAUAAGAAAAGUACUAAUUGUUCACCAAGUGGGCUAUCUCCCAUAACAUCUCGUGCAAAUAUCUAUUUAACCAAAUCUUGGUGGCCAUUUGAGCUAUUUUCCAUUUCUUGAAUACACCUUGAUUUAAUAUUUGUAAUAACAUGAACUAAAAUCACCAUUUGUUACGUAAAAAAUAUUUAGUUAGCAUUUUUCAAGUAUUUUAGAAGAAAAAAUUAUCAAAAAAGAGUAAAACUUAGCACAAUGUCCUAAUAUUUGUACAUCGGCUUGUCAUAAAAUCUCGCAUGAUUUAUAGGAAGGUUAAGAACAAAUUGGUAAAAAAUGAUUCCUUUUAGCCCAACUAUGACAUCAUUUUCCAAUGGUAAAAUUGGGUUUGUGCCUCUACCUAGUUCGAAUAUUCAAUGAUUACCACCAAAAUUUCAUGAAUUGUGGAUGUCUACUAAAGUUUACGAAGAAAUUAGCCACAUGCCCAUGCUUGCUGUCUUAGUGAGCUGUCGCUAGGUCAGCCCCUCGUUACCCUCUCCUUUGACCAACUUCCUCCUUAUGUUAGGCAGGCCAAAAUUGGGACAUGUGGGUGAUUAUUAUGCCUCUCUCCCGAUGGCAUUCCCUAGCACCCCAGCCCACCAGCCACCGGCAGUCGACACCGUCCCUACUGGCGCCAUGGCUAUAUCUUACCUGCAGCGAGAAGAGUAUCAGUUUCGCCUCUAGUGGUCGGUGCGUCCUCGCCUUACUAGGUCGGCCGAUCAAAGCGGUUUUAGGAAUGUUCAAUGGACAAAUUCCGGCUAGUUUUAGAACCUUCUAGGUGGUUUCCUUUUUCUUCUUUUUCGAGGUACAUGUCUGCCUUUUUCAAUACAUGUUGUAUAUUUUUCGUAGACACACAUAACUUUUUUUUAAUAUACAUUGAAAGUUUUCCAAAUACAUCUUUGACCAUUUUUUUAAUAAAUGUAAACAUUUUCAAAUACACUUUGAACAUUCUUUUGAAUUGUAUGGAACAUUUUUAUGUUACGCUAACAUUUGUUCCACAUUAUAUUAAUACUUUUUCAAUGUCAUGUAUAUCUUUUUGAAACGUGUGAACAUUUCUACAAAUAUCGCAGAUUUUUUUGAAUGGUACGAAUUUUAUUUUAACUUACAGGGCUGUAUUUUCAAAAUGUGAUGAACGUUUUCUAAAAUCACACACAUAUUUUUCAUAUUGUCUUAACAUUGUUUAAAUGAAACUAACAUAUUUUUGAAACAUGCAACAUUUUAAAAUGCCAAGUACAUUUUAUUGAAUGCUAUCAACAUGUUAUAAAAGUUAUGAAAAAAUAAUUUUAUACUGCAUGGACAUUUAUGUGCAUGGGGCGUGUUUGGUUGCCGUGCGCUACAGUACCCGCAUUGCAUACACUUCUCCACCCAACCUGGCUAAGCAAAUGCAGCCUCAAAUGCACCAUCUGCAUGUUGUUUGGUUGCCUGCAUGGGCAGAACCACACUGCCUGGUGUUUGGUUGCCUGCAUGUUAGUGGACAAACCCAAGGCAUGGUGUUUGGUUAUAUGCAACACCUGGUGUGUGGUAAUCUCUUUGGCUAGUUGGUGAGGUUACCAACACACUUCGGCACAACCAGUAGCACAUAUCAUAAGCAGAGCAGAGUAUAAAAAGAUGAUCAACUACUUAAAAGCAUAUUUCAGAUAAGAAGUACCACACUUCAUAACAGUUCUACGCAUAAACCAUAAACAUAAACAAUUCAAAGCAGACUCGAUAGUACUUAGGAGGCCCCGGCCCUACUCCUUGGCGGCGAAGGCUUCGUCGUGCUUCCUGCACUUGUUGACGACCUCAAUGACAUCGUCGUCGAACAUGAUGACCUUGAGGUUGUCGGGAGUGAGGAGCUUGAACGUUACCAUUUAGCCGAUGUUGAUCUGAUGAACGACUGCGUAGGUGGCCCAACCCUGAUCCAAGGUCACCCUGCCGUUCAUCAACUUCAUCGUCACCUUCCAGGAGCAGCCGGUGUUGUUCCUGAGCUUGAACUCCUUCGGCACCGUGACGAAGUGCUUGGUGAAGUCCAGGGGCAUGGGGAUGCACUCAAGCUUCGGUGCAGGAUGACCUUGCAGAAGUGAGUUGGGCCAUCCUCCUGAUGGUAGUGACCAUAGUUGCGGCGCUUGUUGCUGGGGGCUCCUCCAUGCCCUUGUCGUCGCCACCCUCAGGCAUCUUCGGGUCUUCCUCGGCGGUGGGCGGCAACACAACCUCGUCGGGCAUUGGGUGAAGUGGUUGCUUGCCCUUGUUGUCAACGGUCGGGAGCACCUCCAUGCCCAUCUCAUGGCUCUCCUCGAUCUGCACAUAAUUCAUGGAGUCAAGCACAUCACAGAUUUCAUGGCUAAUUGAAGAGCAUGUAGUUAAAACAGCAUGACUGUCACUCUUCUCCUCCUCUCCAUUCCCCCUAUAUUUACUCACCCUACCCACCACUACUUACCCACCCCAUCUCUUCUCUCACUGUCAACCUUCCUCCUCCUCAUCGCCAUGAGCUCUAGCUCCAGCUCCAACACCAACCCCUUCCCUUGGGGUAUUGGAUGGAGGGCCUUCUUCCUCGGGUGGACGGAUGGUGACCAAACCAAGUUCGAGAACACCAUGAAGGUGUGCUCGAACUUCGGCUCCAUGCCUGAGAUGCAGAAGGAAUCUAAUGCAGUGCUCAUGAAGGUCACUGCAGAAGAGCCGAAGACGCUGGUUCCUGACCCAGCGAAGGGCGCGAUGGCAGUUGACAUCAUUCGCGGGGCCAUGAAUCAGGCCGUCUCCGACGACACUAAACAGAGAAAGAAGUGGUGCAAGUACAAGACCUACUGGGCUCCUAAUGACCGCCGUGCCGCAGUGCACUGGGAGACGGCUAUCGCGCCGCCGGCGGUCAUCGGUGGGGAGCCUAAGGAGGAGGAAGAAGAAGCGGUGUGAAUGCCAGCAAGGGCGCCGGGGCCAGGCCGUCGUAGCUGGCAGAUCGACCUCGACUCUGCCGAGGAUGACGAUGACGACCCGUCGGCCCGCACGGCGAUGAAGAAGAAGAUGAAGGCCAGCGGCUCGACCAGCCGCUCCGCACGCCGGUGACGACCGCCGCGGUUAGCCGGUGUCUGUUGUGUACCCCUUAUCCCCCAAUCCCCCUUCUGCAUUCCGAUCUUGCAUCUAUGAACUCGUAUGAACUGCUAUGAACUAGUAUGAACUACCCCUAUACUUAUCUACCUAUAUUCCCCAUUCCCCUCCGCCGUGGAUCGAAUCUAUCACCGGAUCGAACGGGAUAAAGUUUUGCAUGUCGAAGAGAGAGAAGUGCUUACUGCCAUUGCCGCGGUCCAACUGCUGAUCCGCUCGCCGGUGAUGGAGUCCGAUGGUCUUCUUCCUCUGCUCCGAUCCGCCGCCGCCGGUGAGAGUUGGGACAGUAGGGAAGAGUGGGGAAUGGGAGCGGUGAGGGGCGGUGAGGCUAAUAACUGCUGGCGCUUCGGGAAGCAACGCGGCUUCUCAAGCGUGGUCGCACGCGUGCAGCCGCCGCCGCCCACGUGCACCGCUCGGGGCUGGCCCUGGAGAAGCUGCCGAUUCAUGCGUUUCCAGUGAGCCAGGUCCAGAGGUGCUUUAAGUUUCGUGUUGUGCAGGCCCAAUAGUAAAAUCAGGCGUCCAAACAGCCCGUUCCCUUCCCGUGCGGGCCUGAUUGGGCCAUAUGCAGGCAACCAAACAAGCCCAUGAUGAAUGCUUUUAAAAUUUUAAGUAAAUUAAUUUUGGGGAAUAUAUGUAUUUAUAAUAUUUCAAAAAUAUAAAAAAGGAAACGAACGGACAAGCAAAUCUACCUGUCCUGAAAGAACACAAGAUGAACAUUUAUAUGCACUCAAUGAACAAGAUGCUGCAGUCAGGCAGGCACAAGCUCUUUCUCACGGGCACGCAUCUGAAGGAACACCCAACCCCUCAAAAAAUGUGUAUGAAAAAAGUAGACAAGAAAACAUAUAUUUGAAAAAAGUUAUUCAGGUAUUUGAAAAUGUUAAACUUGUUUAAAAAUGUUUCAUAUGUAUAAAAUAAUUAUAAUAUGUUGAAAAAUAAACAUCAAAACGUAUAUUGAAAAAAUAUUAAUCUUUAUUUGACAUUUUUAUAGAUGUAUAAAAAUGUUCCACAUGUAUACUCAAAAUGUACACUGUGCAUGAAAAAAAUUAGACAUGAAUGCAUAUAUUUUAGAAAAUGUUAGUCAUGGAUACUAGAAAGGUUAAACGUGUAUAACAAACUUUUUGCCAUAUACGAAAAAUGUAGAAUUUUAUGAAAAAAGUAGACAUAUAUAGAAAAAAUAAUGAAAAGGAACAAAAAAGGAAAAAACUAGAUGAAAAACGAAAAAGAAUCAAGAAUGAAACAAAGAAAAUGAAAAUGAAAAAAAGGAAUAGAUAAUACUCCCUCCGUUCCUAAAUAUUUGUUUUUCUAGACAUUUCAAAUGACUACUACAUACGGAUGUAUGUAGACAUAUUCUCGAGUGUAGAUUCACUCAUUUUGCUUCGUAUGUAGUCGCUUGUUGAAAUGACUAGAAAGACAAGUAUUUAAAAACGGAGGAAGUAGUACUGAUAAAAGACCCUCGUAGAAGGAGGAACUCAACUCACACAUGAAAGGAAAAAUCCAGCGAGCAUACGCGAAUUGAAAACUCAGAGAAGGAAACUCACUCGAGUGUAUGCGUAAUGGGCGGCGACCCACUUGUGAGCGAUUGAUGCGGGCGCGACUUGUAGCUCUCAGCUGUCUCGCGGACGCGUCUAUGGCCCAGUUCUUUUCGGCAAUUCUCCUAGAAUUGCUCCUCUCCUCAGCUUCUCUCAGAAUCAGCACUUUAUAUUUUUUUUACAAUCCUAUCUAGUUAAGGUCUAAUUAAUUAGGAUUGUAAAAAAUAUAUUGAGUGAUGAUUAUGAAAGAAGUUGGGGAAAAGGGCGAUUCUGGUAGAAUCGCCAAAAAAACUGGCCCCAUGUCUCGGUGGCAAGACAGAAAUAGUACAUUACUGUAGGUUUGGUCAUUUUCUUUUCUAACGUUGUUACUUGUUCCCGGGAGGACUUGCCGUCUUGGUCCCCCAGCCGAGAUGUGAGCACGGAAGAGCAUCUUCAGCAUGCGCCGAAGGCGCCGCGUGCUAAAAACUGCUUUGCCGCGCAUCCAUCGCCCAAUUUGACGCGGCGCACAGCGAUGACUCCAGCAGCCGCGCUAAAAAGUAGCGCACACUCAUUUUACAAUAUUUUUUUAGUAAAAAUUGCAUAGAUAAAAAACGAUACAAAGGUAUUAUACAUCGGUGCAACUAGAUAGAUAAAUCGAAAACAUAGAUAGAUAGAACUACGGUGCAACUAGAUAUAAACUACUACGGCAUACAUAGAUAGAAACUACUCCAAGUCGCUACCAUUAUCACCAUCAUCAUCCUCGUCGGUGUUGUCCAAGGUAUCGAGCCACAUGUCGUCCCAACGUUCAUCGUUUGACGUGAAGAUCGACCUCCCACCUGCUACAACAAUAUUGGACUGCGCAUUCGCCAACGCCUUCCGCCGACGCCGGUCCGCUCGCUCCGCACGGCGCCUUGCCGUCAUCUCCUCCCAGUAGGCACGCUCGUCGGCGACGUCCUCCGGUUGGCGACGGCGCCACUCCGCCAUGGCUCGCUCGUCCUCCUCGGCGAUGAGGAGGCGGCGCUGCCGCCGAGCGUGGUCGGCACGGUCCAUGUCGGUGAUGAGACGCGGCGGAGAGGCGACGCGCUGCGCCUGCUCGCGCCUGAAGACGUCACGGAAGUUCAUCUGCGACCGAGGCCUCUCCAAGCGCCACGCCGCCACGUCGUACGCGCGGGCCGCCUCGUACGCGCGGGCCGCCUCGUACGUGCUCCGGAACGACCCGAGGCCGAGCCGGACGUCGCCGGCCCGGAUCUCGGCAGAAUACUAGCCGUUGAGGCGCUCGCGGAUGCCGCGGUAGCCCGAAGAACCCUGGCGGCAAGGUGGCGCGGUGGUGGCACGGAAAGCGGCGAAGCGGCGAGGUUGCGAAGCGGCAGAAUACUAGCCGUUGAGGUGCUUAUGAUGUAUACAAAAAAUGUAGAUCUGUAUCACAAAAAGUGUACACCAAAACAUAUAUUCGAAAAACAUGCCGAUCUUGUAUUUGAAAAACAUUAAAGGCAUGUAAGAUGUGUACAAAAAAGGUAAAAAGUGAAACAUAUAUUCAAAAAAGGAUUUGAUCAUGUACUUGCAAAGUAUUUAUCGUAUAUAGAAAUGUUUUGUGGUGCAUUUGAAUAAUGUACAAAUGUGUAUAAAAAAUUAGACAUGUGUUGGGGAAAAAGGCUAAAGAAAACCAUGAAAACCAAAGAAACAAACAAAGAAAAUGGAAGAAAAAACAGAUAGAAAAAGGAAAAGGAAAAGGAAAAACCGAAGAUCUCAUAGUANNNNNNNNNNNNNNNNNNNNNNNNNNNNNNNNNNNNNNNNNNNNNNNNNNNNNNNNNNNNNNNNNNNNNNNNNNNNNNNNNNNNNNNNNNNNNNNNNNNNNNNNNNNNNNNNNNNNNNNNNNNNNNNNNNNNNNNNNNNNNNNNNNNNNNNNNNNNNNNNNNNNNNNNNNNNNNNNNNNNNNNNNNNNNNNNNNNNNNNNNNNNNNNNNNNNNNNNNNNNNNNNNNNNNNNNNNNNNNNNNNNNNNNNNNNNNNNNNNNAUCGCCGCUGCUGAGUCCCACCUUUGAUUUUGGCCUUGACAAAAGUUCACCACUGUCGGGAUGUGGAGUUCCGACAAACCCUUAAGGUUCGAACACUGGGGUGCGCGCGAAGUCUUUCCCUCCAACCGAUCUACGCUCAAGCUCGCUAAGAUCUUGCGGACGAACUCGACGAACUCACAACACAGAAAGACAUGGGAUUUAUACUGGUUUGGGUCAUCGUUGUGGUGUAAUACCCUACUCCAGUGUGGUGGUGGUGGGUUGCCUCUUGGGCUGAUGAUGAACAAUACAAGGGAAGAACGGCCUCCUGAGGUUGAGGCGUUCUUGAGCUCGGUGAGCUUGUGUGUGCGGGGGUGGUCUUUCUCGAGCUAAGAUCCCAUCAGGUCAUCUCAUCCCCUACUAUUGUGGUGGCUAGACCUAUUUAUAGAGGCCCUGAUCCUCUUUCCAAAUAUCGAGCGGGAAGGGAGCCAACAAUGGCGGGCUAAUUUGAAGGGGGACAGCUAGUACAAGCUAUCCUGACAAAAGUAGUCUUCGCCUGCACAAAGUUCUGGUGGUGACGCUUUUCUGGGCUCCACGAUGACCUCCAUCUUGCAGGCCAUGGUCUUUGUCUUUUUGCACCGAAAUGGCAACCUUUGCCUGAGGCCUCAGUACUUCGCGGCUGCGCUUGCCCCCUUUGCACCAAAGAGGAAACAAGGACGCUGUGCGUGCUGGCACCUGCCUGGCACCCGCCUGGUGUCGAUCGUCAUGGCUCAUGUCACGAGAGCCUCGUGAGGUUCGCCUCGCCUUGAUAUCUCCGCUCCUCAUGAGCCUGCCUGGCUAGGCCACUCCAGAGGAGGUCUUGCGUCGUCCGCCUCGCGAGGCUUGGCCCCUCGCGAGGGUCUUGGGCGCUUUGUUGGUGAAGAUGGGCCGUACGGCCCGCUGGCUCAGCCACGCCGCGGGCCGCAGGCAGGCAAGUCUGGGAACCCCCGUUCCCAGAACACCGGCAGUAGCCCCUGGGACCAAGGUGCGCCCGAUCUAGGCUUUGUGGCGAAGCUAAGGGUCAAGUUCGCGGCCCCAAAAGCCUGCAGCCUCGGUUGACACGUGGCGGUUGAUUGGACGUGGGCGUCUCCACUUCCCCAUGUUGUUUCCGCAACUGCUUGACCUGACAAAAGGCUGGCGUGGGUGCCACUUGCCUUCAUUGCUUCUUCCUCGACUCGCUCGAGAUUCCCUUUCUUGCUCUUCGCCCUCCGCUACCUACAGAUCUGCUCCGGCCUCGCUCUGCAUCUGCCGCCCAUGGCGCCGCGCAAGGUCAAGACUUCCUCGUCCCCGGCUUGGUACGAGCCCGCUCUUGAGGCACCCACUGUCACGGAGAAGAGCCUUGCCUCCGUGCGCCUGCUGACGGUGGGAGAGAGCAACGAGUGGGGGAAGACGGAGCUCCGGCUUGCUUCUGACGAGCCGAAGCCUGAGGGGAGCACCUUCUUCCCCUUCUUUUCGAGCAGCGUUGCCGUCGGGUUGGUUCCUUGUAACACCCACGAUGCGGCUAUAUCUCCCACAUGUCGGAGCACGACUUAGAGGCAUAACCGCAUAGUAGGCAUGUCGCAAGAGGGGUAAUCUUUACACAUCCCAUGUACUGAAUAAGAAAGGGAUAAAGAGUUGGCUUACAAUCGCCACUUAACACAAUACAUAAAUAUAGCAUUACAACAUCCAGAUACAAACAAGGUCCGACUACAGAACCAAAAUAAAGACAACCCCAAAUGCAUAGGUCCCCGAUCGCCCCAACUGGGCUCCACUACUGAUCGAAAGGAAAGGAAAACAACACAACGAACACGAUCUUCAUCGAGCUCCCACUUGAGCUCAGCUGCGUCAUCUGCACUGGUAUCAACGACACCUGCAAAUGUUUUGGAAGUAAUCUAUGAGCCAGAGGACUCAGCAAUCUCACACCCGCGAGAUCAAGACUAUUUAAGCUUAUGGGUAGGGAAAGGUAGUGAGGUGGAGCUGCAACAAGCACUAAGCAUAUAUGGUGGCUAACAUACACAAAUAAGAGCGAGAAGAGAAGCAAAGCCACGGUCGUGAACUAGAAGUGAUCAAGAAGUGAUCCUGAAACUACUUACGUUCAAGCAUAACACCAAAACCGUGUACACUUCCCGGACUCCGCCGGAAAGAGACCAUCACGGCUACACACGCAGUUGAUGCAUUUUAUUUAAGUUAAGUGUCAAGUUUUCUACAACCGGAUAUUAACAAAUCCACAUCUGCCCAUAACCGCGGGCACGGAUUUUGAAAGUUCAAAACCCUGCAGGGGUGUCCCAACUUAGCCCAUCACAAGCUCUCACGGUCAACGAAGGAUAUUCCUUCUCCCAGGACGACCCGAUCAGGCUCGGUAUCCCGGUUACAAGACAUUUCGACAAUGGUAAAACAAGACCAGCAAAGCCACCCGAAUGUGCCGACAAAUCCUGAUAGGAGCUGCACAUAUCUUGUUCUUAGGGCACACCGGAUGAGCAAGACAUUGGGUUGGCAUAGACCCUGGUUGCCCAGGGGGCACGGGACGUCGCUCAGGUUGGACCAACACUUAGAGAAGCACUGGCCCGGGGGGUUAAAAUAAAGAUGACCCUCGGGAGCGCGACUCCCAAGGAAAAAGGUAGGUCGUGGUGAGGCAAAUGGUAAAACCAAGGUUGGGCCUUGCUGGAGGAGUUUUAUUCAAAGCGAACUGUCAAGGGGUCCCCAUAACACCCAACCGUGUAAGAAACGCAAAAUCAAGGAACAUAACACCGGUAUGACGGAAACUAGGGUGGCAAGAGUGGAACAAAACACCAGGCAUAAGGCCGAGCCUUCCACCCUUUACCAAGUAUAUAGAUGCAUUGAAUUAAAUAGGAGAUAUUGUGAUAUCCCAACAUAUCCAUGUUCCAACAUGGAACAAACUUCAUCUUCACCUGCAACUAGCAACGCUAUAAGAGGGGCUGAGCAAAGCGGUAACAUAGCCAAACAACGGUUUUCUAGGAAAGGUGUCUCUUGUCAUGGCAAUAUGGGAGGCAUGACAUAGCAAGUGGUAGGUAUCGCGGCAUAGGCAUAGCAUUAGAGCGAGCAAUUAGCAAGCAAAGAUAUAAGUGAUUUCCAGGGUAUGGUCAUCUUGCCUGAGAUCCCGCAAGGAAGAAGAACGAGUCCAUGAAGAAGACAAGCGGACGUAGUCGAACGAAUUCUCACAAACGCGACGUUAACGGAACUAACCUGAAGAAGCAACACCGGAAAGAAGCAAACAACAUAGUAAAUAACCAUCACAUAAACAUGGCAUGAUGCACAACCAAGUAUGAUGCAUGUCAGGUUUAAAGAAGCAUGACAUGGCAAUAUGCAACAAACAACACUACAAAUUAAGUGGAGCUCAAUAUGCAACGAGUUGCAUAUUGACGGAACAUCCACAUUCAAGAUAUUUAGUUCGAUCUCGUUUAUGUACCCAACAAUAUUAAAUGUUGUUUAACAUGGCAAGGGUGAAGCAUAUGAACACUACCUAUCUAGGCAAGUUUAAAUGAGGCCAGAACAACAAACAACAAGUCCGGAAACUCCCCAUGUGCAUAUUUUAAGGUUUGGUACUGUUCUGCCCUAAACACAAUUUUAGAGUUAUCAAACAUACAAAGUGAUGCCACCAUGUUAAACUAGGCAAUUUUCUACCCCAUUUACAUAUAAAGUUUAUUAGGUUUGGAGCUACGGUGAUUUAGUUAUGAAUAAAACCAUUUUAGCAUGUUAUUUAAGGAAAUUAAAGUUAACAUCAUUUUAAACAUCUCAAACAUGGAUGAAAGUGGCAAAUUAUUGGUCUACACAAAAUUCUAAGCAUUUUACAUAUAUAGAACAUUUUAAACCGAUGCACGGUUUGUGAGUAAUGAUAUGCAUGAAGGCUAGGGGGUUUUCUGCAAUUCUGAAAAUCUACGGAUAAAUUGCUAAAAUUGCUGGAACAGGAAAAAAAAACCCAUAACGGGCCAAAUCUGCUGGACUGGGCCACAACAGGAGCAUACAGAGGGCGGGGUAGCUCACCCUGGGCCAAGGCCCGGUCCAGUGGAAGCAGCAGGUCGGCGGGUCUAGCUGGGCCUAGGAGGCGCUGGGCCUAAGCGAUCUGAUACGGGAGACCCACAGCGAGGCGCUGGACGAGCAGGCGGUCAACGGGGCUGGAGCUCUCUGCUCGAUCCCGAGCUCAUGCACGAAGACACUUCUCGGGCGCUGCAGGAACCAGCAGGCGCGGCGGCUCCAGGGACAUGGCAAGGAGUCCUAAUGUUGCUUUAGUAGUUUGUGAUAAAAUUACGGGAAUAAUGCAAAUAAGAAAAAUACUAAUUGUUUACCGAGUGGGCUAUCUUCCAGAACAUCUCGUGCAAAUAUCUAUUUAACCCAAUUUCGGUGCCCAUUUGAGCUAUUUUCGAUUUCUUGAAUACACCUUGAUUUAAUAUUUGUAAUAAACAUUGUUGUGCAGUUUGCUUAAUGUUCAAUAAUUGUGCUAUUGGUUCGGUCUUACGAACUUCAGUUGAGAAGAGAUAAACAUUAUUGUUGUGCAGUUUGCUUACAGUUCAAUAAAUUGUCCUCCUUCAUUGGGAGUACAUGCUUUUAGUUACCAAUUAGACGUCUGAUCGAAAUUAGAAAUUUAACACCACAAAUUCUGGGUAGAUUUUCCAUUCUUUUUCACUAAUGGAACUGCAAAUGUGGAAAUAUUUAGAAAAGGGAAAUCAAUAUUGCUCAACAAAUUAUACAUUUUUAAAAUGAAUGUCUUGCUGAUGGAAAGGUUCAGUGGCCUAUAUUUUCCACCAACCCAAAUUAGUUCACAUAAUGUGUUUCAGUUGAAAACUUAAUGAUGCAUCCAUUUGUGAUCGUUUCUUCUGGGUACUGGAUUAUUUGUAUGAUGCCUCCAUGCAUUCUAUCAAAUUCAGUAGGAAUAGAGACGCUAAUUAGUUGCAGCUCUUCUUAGACAUUGUACUGUACCCCUUCUCAUAAACUUGACAUGUUGAUAGCCAAAAAAUUAUUUUAUCAUCAAGGAAGCUAGCAAAUUAGAAUUCAUAAGGUUGAUAAUAAUGGAGGAAUUUAGAAUACAUAAAAUUGGUAAUAAAUUGAGGAAUUCACUCAAAUUAUAUUAUUUAAUAUGGAUAAACGGGAAACUGUAAUAUGAUAUAUUAGUCAUAACAUUGAAAACUUAGUAAGUACGUUCUUACGCUAGCCGGUGCAGAAGUACAGGUUGAUGACUAGUUGAUCUAAACAGCAGGAGGGACGCAACAACAUCUCCAAGUCACGGCCCAAUCUCAAACUCCACCGGCAACACGGAGAAAUCACGGUCGCAUCUUGAUGGUUGGCACAGAGAAGCUGAGCGCACUUAGUGUAGAAGCUUUGAAGGUUGCGCCGGCAAAGGAAAGGACGCCGUAGAAAAGCCAACUGCCGAUGUCUAAACUCUAAAUGCAGCGUCACGAUCCGGGGAGGGAGCGCACUGUCGUUGCGAAACGAGCGAUUGAGAGAGAGAUGCGAGCGAGAACGAUGAACACAAACUGGAGAGAGAGUGGCUUUUCCUCUGCGCAAACCUCGCAGCUUUUCUGUUAUCUUUCUCUUUCUCUUAUCUUAGUUACAUUGAGUUAGAGAGAGUGGGUUUUCCUCUGCGCAAACCUCGCAGCUUUUCUGUUAUCUUUCUCUUUCUCUUAUCUUAGUUACAUUGAGUGAAAACAACUACUAGCUAACCUCCCGGCCUGCUCGCUGUGAUCCGGUGAAGUCGCGCCAUCCCACGACUCCUCCACACGGUGAUAUGUGCUGACCGGGAGAGAAACAAUGAGAAAGGAGUGCGUGCACUGUGCACGUCUCCAUUACGUGCGUGCAUGCGGCUGUCGCAUCAGGCCCGUGCACACCUUAUCCAAAAUAUUAACGUGUGCAUCAAGGACGCCUCCCCGUGAUAGCCCCGUCAUCACAGGUACGACAAAAGACGGUAGCGAACUAGCGAUUGGGCAAGAGGGAAAAGGAGAUCGGGGGUCACGCCACACGCAUCCUUCUCUCCCCUCCUCUCCCCCAGAAACGAGAACUGCUUCUCGUCAUUCCCAAUCCGACCGCCGCCGCCGCCCCAACCCCAACCCCACUGCCGCCCCAAUCCGACCGCUGGCGGCCUCCUCCUCCCCUAGAGCCGCCGCUCCAGCCCUUCACCUUCUAUCUCUAUCCCAACUCUAUUCCAAGGGAAGGAAAGCCCCGUAUCACGCGACAAGGUGAGGGGGCGCCCAGAUCCGCAGCGGCACCACCGCGCCCUCGUCUACCUGGUCCUCGUGGUCGGCCAUGGAGGUCUGACCCGACCCAUGGAUGGAUGGGGGCGAAACCCUAGCCCCACACCCACCCAUGGAUGGAUGGGGAUCGGGCGACGACGGCGGCGGGCUUUUCUCGGUGCUUGCUGAUGUGGUGGCCCUCGACGCCGGUGAUGGGUUGCAGCACGUAGACGCUAAAGGUACUUACGCCCUCCAUCCUCCUCCCCUCCCCUCUUCUUCUUCUUCUUCUUCUUCUUCUUCUUCUUCUUCUUCUUCUUCUUCUUCUUCUUCUAGAUCUCUCAAGCUGAUCCGUGCGGUUGGUUUGUGCAGACUGCGGGUGUGAUGGAGGAGCACCAUGGCGGGCGUGCAGGCCAUCUUUCCCUACCAAGUGAGCCCAAUCCCUUUCUUCUCCUGGACAGCUACGAAGAAUUGAAAUUUGUUAAGAACCUGCAAUAGAACCAAAAGAAUGAUGCAACUACUUUGGUGAUUCCUUUUAAGAUGUCAAUGGGACAUGAGACAAAGAUAACUUGUCAUUUGAGAUGCCCCUAAUUCAAUUUUAUAUCGUGUUGAACUUUCUCAAACUAUUAUGUAUAUCAUUUUAGUAAUUGAGCUAAACAAACUGCCAUGGUAGAAUUUACGGGCGUGGCGUCAUGACCGGGCGCAGAAGAAGGUAUGGCCCGCAUCUCUCUGUAGGUUGUACUUGGGGAAAAAACUGUAGCUCGCGUGGCGAGAUGCUCAUUACCAGUAGUCAUAGCUGCAGUUUUGGUGCGUCAAGUGGUGGAUACAUUGUUGGCUUGAAUUUUCAUGUCCCCUGAAGGUUCUAAGUGAGUGCUGCAUCAAAGGGUGUUGUUGUGAUUUCCUCGAGGUAUUGAUUAGGGGAGUUAGGUUUACAUGAUUUAGCUCGUUGUUGGCUGGAAGAUUACAACAAAGUAUGAAUGCUGGCCAAUUUUAUAUUUAGUUGCGCUUCACAUGUUUGUUUUUCGGAUAAUUGUUGCUCCUUUUUUUGUGACUAUUGAUUGUUCCCUUUACUAGGAAUAUUUAGGAUGACAAUCGUUACAAUGCUGGGAGUGGGGCACAUCUUAUGUUCAAGAGGGCCGAGAAAGAUCGGAUUUUGGUUGACAAGAUUCUGGGUACUCCUUAGUUUCAGAUGAUGUACUGCUUAUUUUUUGUUACCACUUCAUGUGAUUUAUAUUUUCUUCACCUUGGGCAGGAAUGGUAGAUGUUUUGACCACGAAAAUCAUAGCUUCGAAAAUGGAAGAGGAAGAGUUCACAUGAUAUGAUGGCGUACGUCUAUUUACUGACACUUCAUUUCUAAAUGGUGUUUGUGUUUCUUUCUUCCUUGAGGUUUUUUCAUGAACUAUUUUGCAGGUACUCCUUCUCUCAAUGCUGGAAGAAUACCUGAUCGUUUGGCAGGACGACAAAGAACAGGAAAGAAAACACAAAGGGUACUGUGCAGUUGCAUUUUACUAUCUAAAUUCCUUACGGCAUCUUUUUUGUAUUUCAGUCAAAAGUUUAAAUUCCUCAAAUGUGCAUAACUGCAGGAUCAGAAGAAGCUCCAGGAUUAACUCAAACCUGAGCAGGAAGCUCUCUACGGUUCAAGAAAAAAUUCAUCCAAGACUCAAAAGUAUAAAGAAGUCACCUAGCUAGACACUCAAUUGGUGGUGUAAACCGUAGGGUGUCCAUUGGUGGAGCCACGAUGCAAGCACCCAGAACAGACGUUGUAUUCGAAGAAUGUUCAUGCUGCUAAGAGAAUUGAAGACAUUGCCCGUUUGUCCCCUGGUAAGCCCCUAUCGGUUUCAUAGCUUUAGCACGAGUCUCGAGAUUCACAAUGGGUGGAGCAUCAGAAAAUUAGGGAAAAUAUAAACUCUCUGAAAAAAUAUCGUAUAUUCAGACAUAGAGGCCUGGAUGUGGUAGAUGUUACAGAUAUUAAAGAUAAGUGAACUUCUUAACCAUGUUUUAAUUUAUUAUAAGCAAACAAGUUUUUCUAAUUUACAUCCAACCAUAUUUAGUGGGUUUUAACUAUAGUUAAUUUCUGACAACCAGGCUGUUGUUACGCUUUUCUAGAAUUUGUACUAGGCUUGGGCUUACAGAUUUGUUGAUGAACUUGACUCUAAUGCUUAUACCACUUACCUUGCAGAAAGGCUUUGUUUUAUUGGUGUUUAACCAUCAUCGAUGUAGAGGCAUAAAUGUUCUUGGAAGAUGUUGCUUGAUUUUUGAGCCCAUGUGCUAUGCUAAUAUUUUGUUUGGUGCUUUUUGUGUUCUCCACUAGAAUAACCAUAGCUUGGCUUUCCUGAUGUUAUUGCUCUGAAGUGUCUACCUUGGUUAAAAUCACUUUGUGUUAUCUCAACUUUGUGUUGGUUUCAUGCCAAAUCCUACAGAGCUUUGAUGAUGUUAUGUGCCAAUUUUCUUUUAGAAUUAUACUCUCCUUAAUGUUUGAUAUUUGAUCCUUAAUUAGUAUCUACUCCCCAUGAUUCUGUUGCUACUGGAAGCAUCGCCUUGAAUGUCGUUUAGCUUCGAAAGGGAAAGGUUCCAAUUGGGUUUUUUAUUACUGUUAGAGGGUAGGAUGUUCAACCGUGCAUUCAAUUUUUUUUCUCUGACUCUGUAUUGCUUUACUAUUGCGUGAAUUAUAUUUUUAUCCAGUUUUGCUCCUCUUGAUGAUUGGAAGUUAGCAUUGCUCCUGUUAGAGCAACAGUAUACCAAAGCAAGAUCCAACCGAGCUAAGGAUGUAAGUUCACUGGAUUGUCUUUGAAUGUUGUUUCGCUUAUGCAUUAUUUAUUGUACUUUGACAUGGAUUAGCUUGGCUUUGCAUCUAGGCUCUCUCUUGCUUUCCCAACAACUUCAGAAGAGAUUUUUGGAUCAGGUAUGGUGUAUUCAGUUAGCAUUAUGUCUAUGAGUGUAGGUUAUAUGAAAGUAAAUAAAACCAUAGUUUUUAGUCCUAAAAAAAGAGAGGUAGACUGAAGAAACUAUGUCCUGCUCGGAAACGACUUGUGUACUUACAACUAAAAUUAGAAGAGGUGCUCCAGUUCACUGUGCAUAAGAUAUUAGAGCAUACACAUGAUUAUUCCUUUUAAUAUAUCCCGUUGUAUGAGAAUGGAAAUACAUGUACACAAGGCCAUAUUUUCUGCUUAAAGUAAAGAAAUACAAACCAAACUUUAUCUACUCACGAUGCGUGACACUGAACAUGUAUGUAUAUAUCAACUACAAUAGCAUACAGUUAGUAUCAUGGAGUCAAUUAGUACAGAUAAAUUUAUUGGAAGUUUCUUGGUCUUAGCAAGCGAGCCCAAGUUGCAUACAACAGAAUAAUUAAAUUGUACAAAAAUCAGAUGCAUAUGUUCUUAAUUAUUUAGUACAUCAAUUUAACCAAGGAUCAACAUUAAACUAACCAAGUAGAUACAAUUGACUAUAAUUAGUCCGCUUUUCUAUUGCUGGGUAACCUUCUUAUGCCAUCAUUUUCUGAGUAUUUUUAUGCUGCAGGUAUCAGGUCCAGAGCCGAUGGAGAGAAGCAACAUCAUGAUGCUGCUAUAUCUUAGUGGUCUUUCUUUCACAAUGGUGAUCUGCUUCUUAUCUGUUCUAGGUGUCACUGUCAUAGCUUGCUUGGCAUAACCUUCCUUCUUUUGAUGGUUGUCAACACACAUUUAAGUCACACACACACCAUACAAGGUAUUGAAUAACAUAUCCUCUCAUUUUUACAGGCGUCUUUUUGUUUUCCAGAAUUUAUUGUUAUAGCAUGCUACUUCUAUGUCUUGGAUAUAUAAGCUAAACUCAACUGGAAGUAGUAUUUGCUAAUUAUCUAUUUGCAAUUCAAUUGUUUAGUUAUUUUAGGGGCGUUAGUUCAUUGAUUUAAUGACUUGUACCUUUGUUGUGUACUUUGCAGAUGCAGAGCCUUUGGUAUAUGCAGCCGCACUCCCUUGCCGCCACCUGCUACUUCAAGUCCGUCGACGGCCAUGUUGGAAACUAGGGCUUCUCCAUAGCCCGCCUCAAUCUCCACCUCGCCCUCCUUGCUGGUAUACAUGCAUCUCAUUCAGUCUGUUCGUUGUACAACUUGUAGUGUCCACAAUUCAGAAGUAGGAGUUCACAGAAAACUGCUUCUCUGAAUCACUCAUCGUUCAGUUUCGUUCUCUUGUGGUUAAUUCAAAGAUCCAUUGCCAAAAAUGUGAAUAUGAGUGCAAAUAUGCUUGUCUUUUGAACUCUGGAACUGUUGCCUAUACAUGCCUAUUAUUGCUGAAUAUGAUGGAAAUGUGGAUGUUUAAGAGGGAGUAUUUAUCAGGAAGCAGCUUAUAGGACUUCCAAUAAGCAAGAAGUUUCAUAUAAUUUUCCUGUAUGCAAUAGGAUGAACUUUCAUUUUAUUGGAAGGUGCUAUAGUAUAAAUUUCAAAGACCCACUUCAGUUGUUGCUGUUAUGGAUUUAUAAAUCUUAAACACAACAGUCUUUCGGUGAAUACAUCUAUUGUAUUUUGGUGAAUAAAAUGCGUCAGACAGAUCCCCACUCUUCAGCAGAUCUUAUAUAACAUUCAAAUUGUCUAUUAGCUAGAUUAGUUUCUCACUGCACUUUGUUUCAAUUUUUUUAGUUUGGAUCGAGUGUGAAUGUAAGGAAGAUAUUGUUGUCACAUAGUAAUAAUCCAUCUAUGAGUUACUAGGAGGUAUCUCAUGCAUGUUGAUUGUGCUUCAAGGUACAGUAGUUUGUAGCAUACAAAAUUAGUGGUUCGCCAUGUUGACCCAACUGUGUGAAUUCAUACAACCAAAACUAGGAACAAAGUUUGAUUCGUAGGUAGCUGAAGAAGCGAACAACUUCUGUUCUUUGCAUUGCAGGUUUCCUAUGUUCCAAAAAUUGAUGUGUAUUCAGGCGUGCUAUGUGACGUGUUGAGAGAAUAUGAUGGGAGGAGGAGACACAACACUCCACUCCACUUCCUAUUAUUGCCAUCACGUUGUUGCCACACUUGGGCUGGUUCUAUUGCGCAUGCUUCUUGCUAUUUGGAUUGCAUCGUUCUUAUUAUUUUUAGGUUAGCCAUCGUUUGAAUUGAUAACAGGACAAUGUUAUCAACUCUUUCUUGGCGAGGAACAUAUUUUUGCAGGCCAGGAGGAAGCUUGAGAACUUGCCACCCGAUCUCGCCAGGGCGAUGAGAUGGAGGCCUGCUCACUGCUGCUCUGCUGUUCGCUACACUUUCAAGGCCUCAGGGAGCACCGCCUUACUGACGACCUCUUCCUCAACAAGCUCGUCGUGGAGUGCAUCGUCGGGUCAACUCCAAUGUCCUUUAUUUUGAGAAUUCAUCAUUCACCACCCUGUAGACAGAUCGUUGCUGACCGUCAUUGCCACCUAUAUAUACUCAAUGUAGUGUGAUUCUUAAGGCCGUCAGAGUCGUACAUACGUCGAUGUAGUGUGCUUCUUAUGCCGGUUUUGGACAGUAUCUACAAAGUGUAUGCUAUGAUCAAAACUGGCGUCCCCUUCCUUUUGAACCAGCUAUACAGUUGAUUGCUACUAAACCAAAUUUAAUCUACUUUUAGCUCUAACGAUUUGGUUAUUGUCAUUGAUUAACAAGGUUGUCAGUUAUGCAUGCAUCUGUGCAGCAAAUAAAGAAAAAGACAGCAGAAUGGGCGCUUCCAACCUGACACCGCGCAUGCACUGUUCAGGACGCGCGCCACGGGCGCGCCCCAUCCACUAGUUACAACAGAAAAAUAUAGCAUCCUACGCUGCGUGACGAUGAGCUUAUAGCAGGCUAACACGCACUCGGAGACUCUGAAGGGGCAUACGUCGCCGUCGCCACGGAAGCGAUCAAUGACGGUCGUGGUCGUGCUCGUGCAGUGGUUGUUACUGGGUGAAGGGCAGCGGCCCAUGUGGGUAAGGAGCUCAGCUCAGCUUAAAAAAGAAAAUAAAAGACUCGAGAGGUAGUACCAUCCUUUCCAAAGAAAAUACAAAACCGGAGCUUAACAUUUGACUAGGGUCGCACAAUGACUACCAUAGAGUACAAUAGCAUUCCAGGAUUCCCGCAAAAUAAUAAUUAGCAUUCCAGUUCCAGGAACGAAUUUAAAGAUUAACAUCAUUGUGUUCGUACCAACAAUAUGGAUUUAUAAUACUUAACAAGUACAAAUUUGAGUCCUCGCGGUGUCAUGGGUCUGAAGAUCAGAACUAUGUCCAUAAAUCUGUGAUACAAAUGUGUAAUAAGGAGCAGAAGGCACAAGAAUUAGAUUUGCACAAGAAUAAUCUAUUAAUCUUACAAGUGCAGAUUCUAUUCAAGUAUGCUUCCAGAAUGCCUGGCAUAAAAUGUUCUUGAAUGGAUAUGAAAUCAGGCUUAGGUCAUCAGACAUCAGUUUUCUUCUUCUUCAUUGGCACAAACUGUCGAGCCCAUAGAUGUUUUCCCCUGGUCAUGAACUUGACUCUCAUAUUCCCGUCUAGAACACAGAAGAGUGUCAUCUGUGAGUAAAAUGUAACGUGCGCGUACAGUGGUGGCCUACUUUCGAUUGGCUCCUCUACACUUAUUUCUUCAAUAUCUCCAUAGUGCCUGUGACAUGGAAGAAAUUUUUGAAAAAAAUUUAGAAACUGCAUAUAUAGGCAAAACUAAUGAAAUGAAUUAAAUCUACUGAAUUUUCUCCUGAAAUUCAUUUUGUGUUCCUUAUUAUAUCCUUUCAUGUCUUUUAAGUCAAUUAUAUGUAUUAUCAAAUUUAUCACUUUAACUAGUAGAUUUCAGAUUUUGCGACAUCUAUUGUUCGCCUUCACAGAUUGAGAAGUUGGAGUGUAUUUCUUCACACCUCCCUUUAUGAGGACAUCACAACGGUUUUUCUGGCGCCUAGCAAAGAAGAUAGCAGCAACCUGUUGAGCAUUUUGCAAUCUUCGAUGAGGUUAUCGGUCAUGUUUCCUGUGUGCUGCAAAAACUCUUAGUGCCUACUACCCUUGUUCGUCCAUCGAUCUCAACAGCAUCCUUCUUGAUUGUUCGGAUGUUUGCACUCAAUUCCAACUGCCACACUUAGGUCUUCCUCUGUCAGCGAAUCAUUUGAAAAGCGUGUACAAGAUCACGUGCAAGCGUAUUAAUUAACUUGCAUGGCAUGGCAAAGAAAAACACAUUGGUUAUCAGUCCUUAAUUCACAAACUAUGAUGUUGGUCAUGGCUUUCAUGGAAGACCAGGAUAGGGCAUUACGGUUGGGACCCCCUUGUGACGCCAUUGAUAUGGACCUCUUCUCUGAUGUCACCACGAUGACUAUUGUGUUAAACCCGGUCAUUGCAUGUACGUAGUCUUCUGUAUAUUGUUGUAACUACUUCCUUGCUUUGAGGAUCACAACCACUCUCCACGUUGGCCCUGCGUGCCGUGUAUCAUGGGAGACGUUGGGUGACCGCGGCUAUUUGUACCUCUGUAACUCUUGCCAUAAUCAAUACGACAGAACUGUGAGCACUCUCUACCUUUAGUUUGGUAUCAGUCGCCAUGGCCUUCGAGGACAUCUUCGGCGAGCCCCCAUCUCCGGCCAUCCCCUUGUCCUCCCACGGGACCUCUCCUUCCCUUUCCCAGAGCACCACCGCUGCCCUCUCCUCCGACCUCGCCCCAGUCCUCCUGUCUGCACCCGCUUCCCCUGUCGUACCACCGGCCGACUCCCUCAUCAUCUCCUUCCACAAUGAUCAUAUCUCCAACCACAUAAAAUUCAAACUAGAUCCGGCCGAGAACAACUACAUCAAGUGGCGAACUUUCUUCUACUGCGUUCUCAUGCAGUAUCGCAUGCAAGAUCACGUGCAAGCGUAUUAAUUAACUUGCAUGGCAUGGCAAAAAAAAACACAUUGGUUAUCAGUCCUUAAUUCACAAACUAUGAUGUUGGUCAUGGCUUUCAUGGAAGACCCGGAUAGGGCAUACGGUUGGGACCCCCUUGUGACGCCAUUGAUAUGGACCUCUUCUAUGAUGUCACCACGGUGGCUAUUGUGUUAAACCCGGUCAUUGCAUGUACGUAGUCUUCUGUAUAUUGUUGUCACUACUUCCUAGCUUUGAGGAUCACAACCACUCUCCACGUUGGCCCUACGUGCCGUGUAUCAUGGGAGACGUUGGGUGACCACGGCUAUUUGUACCUCUGUAACUCAUGCCAUAAUCAAUACGACAGAACUGUGAGCACUCUCUCCCUUUAGUUUGGUAUCAGUCGCCAUGGCCUUCGAGGACAUCUUCGGCGAGCCCUCAUCUCCGGCCAUCCCCCCGUCCUCCCCCGGGACCUCUCCUUCCCUUUCCCAGAGCACCACCGCUGCCCUCUCCUCCGACCUCGCUCCAAUCCUCCUGUCUGCACCCGCUCCCCCUGUCGUACCACCGGCCGACUCCCUCCUCAUCUCCUUCCACAAUGAUCAUAUCUCCAACCACAUAAAAUUCAAACUAGAUCCGGCAGAGAACAACUACAUAAAGUGGCGAACUUUCUUCUACUGCAUUCUCAUGCAGUAUCUCGUGCAAGAUCACGUGGAUCGCCCACCUCCUCCCAACCCUGGUGCGGCCUGGCUCGCGGUCGAUCAUCGCCUCAUCCUUUGGCUCUAGUUCACCCUGGCCGACUCCAUUCUCGAGCUCGUCAUGGGCGGCGCCGUUAACGCGUUCACCGCGUGACGCCGUAUCCGAGACUACUUCCUGGCGAACGAAGGCGCCCAGUACCUGAACCUGACGCGUCAGUUCCGGAACCUGAAACAAGGAGACCUCUCCGUCUCUGACUAUGCGUGCCAUCUCAAGGCCCUCGCGGACGGCCUCGCGGAUACUGAUCACGCGGUCAAGGAUCACGACCUCACCAUGCAGCUCCUCCAUGGCUUGGAUGCGCGCUUCGACACCGUCCGCACCAUCCUGGGCGAUACGGUGCCUCUGCCGCAGUUCCACGUCGCUCGCUCCCGCCUGUAUCUUGCCGAGUAUAACAUCAACCUCCGGGCGGCGGAGGCCGGAUCUGCUGCUCUCACCAUCUCCGGCGGCCUCAACUCCAACAACGACCAUGGUGACCGCGGCGAUCGCGCCGACCGCAACGCUCGCGCCCCCCGUUGGGCCGUGGCUCUAGUGGCAACCGUGGCGGCGAUGACCGCGGGCAUGGACGUGACCGCACUGGCGGCCGUGGGCGCGGCCGAUCCGACUCGGGUGGUAGCGGGUCUGCUCCGCCUCAGCCAUCCCCUUGGACCGGGUACUUCGCUCCGUACGGCAUGGCCCUCCCCGCCCCUCGCUCCGGGUAGGUUCCUCCCAACGCUGCCGGUGUGUUCGGCCCUUGUCCCGGCAUUCACUCUCAAGCGUAUCCACUGAUGUUGUCCGGGCCGUCGCCGCCGCCUCUGUCUACACCACCGUUCCAGACCGGCCCGCCUUCCUGGGAUCACGUCGCCCUGUUCCAGCACGCCUACGGCCAGCAGAUUCUUCCUCACCACAGAGCUGACGGGAUCCUCGACUCCGGCGCGGCCACACACGUCACCGGCAACCCUGGUAACCUCUCUACGUUUCGUUCUUUUCCAAAGCAUAAUUCAUCUAGCAUUACCGUCAGUAAUGGUGAUUGUCUCCCUAUCAUUGGCAUGGGUUCUACCACCCUUCCUCCUUCUAACCUUUCCCUCGCCGAUGUUCUUGUCUGCCCUCAUAUUGUCAAAGAUCUUAUAUUUGUUCGAAAGUUAUCUACUGACAAUAAUGUUUCUGUUGAAUUUAAUCCUUCUGGUUUCUCUGUGAAGGCACUUCCAACCCGGAAUGCUCUUCUGAAGUCCAGUAGCGCUGGUCCUCUCUACCCGUUCUAUGGCAAUAAGUCUGUCGAUGGCGCUGCUUUCUUCACCACUCCAGGUGACUUGUGGCACCAGCACCUCAACCAUCCGGGAAAACCUUCACUUGCCUCUAUCUCCAAGGAUUUUUUUCCAGAUUGUAAUAACACUGCCCACUCUCCUUGUAUGGCAUGUCAAUUAGGAUGGCAGCCCUGUUUAUCUUUUUCAUCUUCCCACAAUUGUACUAGUGCACCUUUUCAACUUAUUCAUUGUGAUUUGUGGACCUCCCCGGUUGUAAGUUUCUCUGGUUAUCAAUACAAAUCUCAUAAUUCUUGAUGAUUACUCCCAUUACUCUUGGUCCUUCCCCUUGCGCCACAAGUCCGACACCUCUUCUACCUUACAACGCUUCUUCACCUAUAUCCUCACCCAAUUUCAUACUCUCAUCAAAUGUAUGCAGUGUGACAAUGGCGGGGAGUUUAUCAACACUUCUCUCCGCGACUUCUUCUCUACCAACGGUAUCAUAUAUCGUCUCUCUUGCCCUCACACUUCUUCGCAAAACGGCAAGGCUGAGCGCAUGCUUCCCACCACCAACGACGUCAUACGCACCCUUCUCAUUCACGCAAACUUGCCACCUCCCUUUUGGGUCGAGGUCCUACACACUGCCACACACCUGCUCAAUCGCCGCCCCUCCAACAAGACCACCCCGUACACCCCAUUUUUCCUCCUCAUCAGCGUGCAUCCUCGUUAUGAGCACCUCCGUGUGUUUGGUUAUUUGUGUUUCCCCUAUCUCUAUGCCACCAGCCCUCACAAAUUAGCCCCUCGCUCUAUGCGUUGUGUUUUCCUUGGCUACCCAUUACAGCACAAAGGGUACCGCUGCUUCGAUCUACACUCCCAUCGCGUUAUCGUUUCUCGACACAUUAUUUUUGACGAGACUAUUUUUCAAUACACACCCCCGGUCACAGGCGCAACUACCGCACCAGAUCCCGCCCCUCCCACUCACCUACGCACGAUCCCCUCCGGAAUCCACGCGCACCCACCAACAUUAGAAGCCAGCGGCCCACGCGAUCCGCCUCGCAAUCUGCUCCGCCGCCCGCCUCUUCCCACGCAUUCGCCUGUCUCCCCACCGAGCCGACCGGGCCGGCCUACCCACCUCGCGUAUGCCACACGCCCUCCCCGGGUUCACCCUCGCCAGAUUCGCCUGACCCACCUGAUCCUGCUCCCCUCUGGUCGCCCACGACUGCUCCCCUCGAGUAGCCCCCGCCUGCUCACCUCGGAUCUGCUGCCCACCCCGCCCAGCGACCCACCAAAUCUUCCUCGCCCUCCGUGCUAGCCAUGCCUAGUCCUCCACAUUGUCCUGUAGUCCAUGUUGCUCCACCUGUUAAUUCACAUAAAAUGACAACCCGAGCCAAGCGGGGCUUCGCUCUACCACGCCAUUUAUUUUCCCUCGCGGCCACCCCUGCCAUUUCUCCUCUUCCCUCUCCUCUUACAAAACUGCUCUCAAAGAUGACGCAAUGCUUGAUGAAUUUAAUGCUUUGCUAACAAACGAUACUUGGAGUUUAGUUCCUCGUCCUGCAUGUCUUAAUGUGGUCACCGGGAAGUGGAUUUUCCGUCACAAAUUUCACUACGAACUGCAGCCUUGGGGUCCGCAAAAGAAAAGACAUUGCACUAUCCAUUUUAAAAUUUUCUAUGCAAAUGAACCUAACCAUGGAGAGAGAAUUAUUUUAGUACGAUUGAUGGAUCAACAACAUUAAGAUAAAUUUUGGUCUCUUUGUGGAACACAUCAUUGAUUAUUUUUUCUGCUUUGGGUCAAUUUGCAAGACACUCAAGCGAUGACAACAAGAAUUAAACUAUUUCGAACCUUACUGCUUCGGUAGAGUAGUCAACAUCAUUGGAAUAUUCCGCUCGACUCGACUCCGCAAAGUGUUUAGUUAAUGAAGCCAGAUUUUUGGAAAAUAGAUUGUCGUCUAAGAGAAAGAAACAUUCUUGGCUUAUCUUGCAAGAAAGGGUGUGGAUAGCUAAUAGAUUACAAUUUUGCAAAAGGGCCCCAGACAUUUUAGGUUCAUGAGGCAGAUUUACAAUGCGAUAAAAGUGUUGUUUGGGCUUAUUGAUGUUAACACCGGUGAAUGGGGUUACUUCAACUCAGCAAAAGAUUGGUGAUAUUAUGUGAUCAAGAUCAACGGAAACACGAGGAGGUGGGUCUAUUCCCUCCUCCGUACUAUCUGAUUCGGCUUGUAAAGAGUUGCACCAGAUACCAUUUCCAAGAGCCAAACUAGUGUCAGCGUCUCUUACUUAAUCUCUCAUCAAUUUCCACAAACUCUCUAAAUUCCCACACAUAGUUCGCUGUAGAUACAAGAUACCAAACAGAGCACUAGGAAAUAAAAUGACACAACAUUUUCUAUUACCCUAACCCCCUCGUCUAAACUCACAUCCCCUUCGCCAAAGUUGCCAACACACUAUGAAAAAAAAUACAUGCCAUUAUGGACCACAUGGGGAGUGGAGUUUGGUCACAACUUAAUGCUUUUACCUUUUCAUACCAAAUUAUAUGAAAGCUCUACUUUUCCAAAUUUACUAUUAAUUAUGCAUCACAUACCUUAUGCGUAAACUGUUCAAUGUUCCCGCAUCGCACCAUCCUCGCUGGUAGGCGACCAUUCGGGCCCACCAAACACUUUUCACUACAACUCUCUGAUCCUCGCUGCGUGGCAGCCAGAGAGCUCACGAAGUUCGUGGUGGUGUCAUCGAGAUGCUCUUCAUGUGCACCUCAUUUCAAUAGCGAGUGGCGCACCUACAUUUGACACGAUAAUGUGGCAAUUAACUUUGAAAGUUUGGAUGGAGCACCAUCUCCCUCCUCUCUGCUGCUAGCUAGUAGUGUGUGUAACUAUGCACCCAGCGUCGAUGUUGAAUUUUGGUGCUUUGGACCAGGAUGGUAGUCUAGAUCUAAGACGGUUUUUGUAGCAAACUUGUGGUCCGCACUUGGAGAUCUACUGGUCGACAUUGGGUCUCAUGGUUGCGAACGUAUAGUUGCUUCCUUAUUUUGUUGUGAAGGAGUGGGGUCUCAUUGUAAGUGCCGAUAACAACGAUGUUCUUGGACAUCAAUGUCUUCCCCGGAGGCCUCAUUGAGGUUACAUGCUCUUCUUCCUCAAUUUUCGGGUGAAAAUCAUUAACCCGGAUUGUCGGAGCAGCUCUACAGCCUCCUUAUUUUGUUGUGAAGGCGUGGGGUUUGAAAGUCGGGUGACAGCCCUAGAUGAUGGUCACUGUAGUGUUCUGAUGGUGAAUCUUGCAAUGUGGAGUGCUAGUUGGCUGCUAAGGCAAUAUAGUGGUCUUCUUGAUGAUUGGUCGUUGUUUGUGGGCCGUCUAUGAUGCCUAGGUUUGGGUGUCAUGUUGACCAGCAGUUCCCUUCUCUCCUUUUCAGGGUGUAGCGAUAGGCCUUUAGAUGGAUGGGUGUCGCGGUGCCAUGAAGAUAGCUUUGCUUGACAGUGGUAAGUGCCGAUAACAAUGAUGUUCUUGGACAUCAAUGUCUUCCCCGGAGGCCUCAUUGAGGUUACAUGCUCAUCUUCCUCAAUUUUUGGGUGAAAAUCAUUAACCCGGAUUGUCGGAGCAGCUCUACAGCCUCGUUACAUUGUUGGAGGCGUCGAACUUCGAACUUUUGCUCCUAAUCUAUGGGUCUAUGCAUGGUUGUGAGGCAGUUAGUGGUAGUUGUGAUCACAAUGUGGACUUUGCUUUGGUGUUUGCAAAACAACCCAUUGUUUUUCUCCUCCUUUAUAUUUUGUCACCAUUCCUCACCGUAUGCUCUGGGAGAGAUUCUUUACACGCCGAUGGUAUGACACCCAUAGAGCCAAGGCCAGAGUGCAGGGGCUCCUCUUCAACGACGGGGACGAAUGAGUAUGCAGUGUGAUUUAGCCUUCUUUGAAAUAGAGGUGGGCCUAUAUUGCUUUCCUACACACACACGCACACAAAGUUCUUGAGAGUGAUUUUUUCAAGGUUGAGCUCCAUAGUACCUUCUAUCUAUCUCGUUCGUACCAGAUUCCCUUCCCUCGAGAUCUCAACCAUGACUGUGAUCCAUUGUGAUUAGCAGCAGUACCUCUGUCACCUAUGUUGUCUCCCUGCAUUCUCUCUCCCCCCUCUCUUAAGAAACUUUAAUAUUGUCUCUUAUUCCUUCCCUUUUCUCUCUCUAGUCUUCUCCUCUAUCUCUCCUUUGUUCUCUCUCAGAGCCUCCUCCCAUUUCUCAUCUAUCUCUUUUUUUAUAGAAAAUGCAAUUUCCCGACUUUAUAGAUAAAGCCAAAGGAGAUUCACAACACCGAUUACAACCAUUAAAGAAGUCUCACAAGUUGUUGAACAACCAACAACCAACAAAUCCCACAUGAACAAUUCAAAAACGACACAUAGGCCAACAACCAGGUACCAAAAGAAAACUAGUAAAUGAUGAUCGGAUGUCCACUAAGCUAGAGCCUGCACCCUUGGUGAUAGCGAGUUCGAUGUAGCCCUGAAGCGAGAGCUGAGUAGGUCCGUGGCGUCG
rnacentral:lncRNA from 1 species